CUUCAUCCACGCUCAGGUCCCUGAGUCGAGUCGAAAGUAUUGAUGCUAUGUAGUUCUGAAAUAUCGAUUAGCUCAUGUUGUAAUUAAACUUUAAUGAACUUGUAUGUCUCUUUAGUUUGGACAUUCGUUCAACUUAUAUGUAAUCGAUGCUAUUUAUUAGUAGGACCAUGAAUCGUGCUAUUAAUGUGUUGCUUUUCUCUUCCGAUCCUUUUGUUGCAUACUUAUAUAUUGCUUAUAUAUUAUCUGUGAAUUGCUACUAACGUCUUGUUUGUCUAGUGCAUAGAGAUGCUGUCGUAUGUCGUGUACAAGGGUAAGGUUCCCGGUGUCUACGACGACUGGGAGGAGUGUUGGAGACAAGUUCACCGUUUCAGCGGUAACAGUUACAAAGGGUACACCACUAGGGCGGAGGCGGAAGCUAGAUACGCAAGCUAUCUAGCGGGAGAGAGGAGGGAGCGGAGGAGGAACCGGAUGAAGACCAGUUUCAUCGCAAUGAUGCUCAUCGUGACCGCAACCCUCUUCUAUGUGAUGGUAGUUUAGAUGAUCGAUAUCGACUUUGUAAUGUGACGACAAACUCGGCUAAUAUGAUGAACUUUGCUAAUGUCUCGAGACCUAAAGUUUGUGUUUGACAAGAAAAAGGAAAGACCGCGCUCAUACAAAAACAAUAGAGGGUUUCGUACAAGCGUCUCCCUUGACCCAAGGGUACAAAGUGUUGCGGGCGUGCCAGUGUACAAAGUACACAAAUAUACGAAGAGGAAAAGAAAAUGUGAGGCCUGCUGGCGCGGCCAAGGGAUCAAGCGAUCAUGGUCUCCUGGUUCCCGAGGGCCUCGGAAAGUCCCCCGGUUAAUUACUCCCGCGGAUAGCACCGCGGGACACCUCCGAUUAAGCUGCGCAGUCGUCGUUCUUUGGUCUUCGCUUCGCGUUGCUCAUGCAUGGUGGUGGUGUGUGUAUGGCGGCGGCAGAGUCCGUGUACGGAGUGGUACACGUGCCGUCGAAAACGUGGCCUUUGCUUCGCCCACGCCCGCCUAUGCCGUCUUGCCUCGUCGGCCUUGAGCGGCAUCGAUGUGGUUGUUGAAGUAGCAUGCAUGGUUGGGCUUGGCUUGGACGUCGUCGAUGACGUUGUAGAUUCGGCGGGAGUGCGAGGGGUAUGCCCCGCGGGAGUAGAUCUUGAAAGGAAAAGAAGGAAUGGAUGGACGUGCGACACAUGGAGUGCGCACACCUAUCGAUGACCGCCUACACCGCCGCCAAAUAGCGGAGGAAGUCGCCACCUGGUGUCGUUCGACGUGGCCGGCGGCGGUAGAUGGGCCGCCCACCAAUGAGCGUGGCACCGACACGGAGCGCCGACGGUGAUCCCGAGCCCAUCUCCAUGAUGGAUGCGUCCGAACCGGGAGCCCCUAGACAUGAGCGGACCCGGCACGUGUGACACGUGUUCGUAACGAUGAAAAGGGAGGCUGCGAGAUACGCCUAAGCGUGUCCCGACCCCAACCGGACGAUGUCUCUGCCGCCAUAGUUACGACGAGUCAUCGUGACUCGUCGAGCGCUGCGCCGCCUCCAUGGUUACGAUGAGUCAUCGUGACUCGGCAAGCGUCACGCCACCGCCAGCGAGUUGAACGUUCCAUGUCACCGAGUCCCGGCCAGCCCAUGGCGCCUCCAUGGACCGGCGAGGCAGCGGCGAAGGAAACCUCGCGACGCGGCGAAGCCUCGCCCAGGCGCCGCGAAUGGGUGUAGGUAGAAGGGGUGACGCACUAGAUGGCGCUGAGUCGAGAUGCAUGUCGACGAGUCCCGACCAGCCCAUGGCGCCUCCAUGGACCGGUGAGACGGGGCGCGUAAGGCCUAACGAUGCGGCGGUGCCUCGCCCAGGCGUCGCCGAUGGUGUAAGUAGAAGGGGGCGCAGUAGAGUGCGCCGAGUCCCGGCACGAUGGUGUUGCUGGCAGACUCGGCGAUGGAGGGUGUGCGGGAGACCGCGCAUGGUCGACGGCCCCGGUACGCCGUCCUGAUGUGCGGAGAGUGCGCCGGGGGCGCGCGUGGGCGGAAGCCCCGACACGUUGUCGCCGUCUUCGCGGUAGUUGUCGUCUUGCGCGGAGAGCAACCCCGGCGUGUCGUCUUCAAGAGCAUCGAGAGCCAACGUCGGCUGCCGGCUCCAUCUCCGACCGUGCGGCCGCAGCUCCAACCGCCAUCAUCGGGAUGUAGAGAGAAGGGAUAGAAGAGAUUAGUAUCUGUAUUCACCUUGGGAAAAGACGACCGGCAUGAUGUCCGAUCUUCGUCGGCGGCUCGAUGAGCCUUGCCCGGCUGUGUACGGGAGUCUCGGCCGCCUGUGCGAGCACUCCCGUAUGGCGCGUGCGUCGGGAGUAGCCUUGGGCUCCUCUCCCUGAUGGAUCUGCUGGUGGGUAGAUGGAUGGAUGUGUUGCCUGAUGCCGGAGGUGCGUGUUCGUCUCCCUCUGGCCGUCCCUUUCCUCCUGGCCCUGCCCCCUCCUGGGAUGGAUGGAUGUGGUGGUAUUUAUAGAGGGGGUGGAAAGAGCGAGGGCGCUGCACCACCGCCCCGUCGUUCCGAUCUUUGGGUACAAGGGACGUUCUUCUUGGCCGGUACGUACAUGGCGCCAUGUGGCUGCCAGUGGGCCCGCCUCCCCGCUGGGCACCGGAUGCCAGCGCGUAUUUGAGUACGAUACGCCUCCUUACUGGCUGGUACACAGGUAUUUGGGUACGUACACAUACGCGGGCAAUCGAGCGAAUACGUGCAUUUUGCUGCGUACAACCCGGUCAGUACGCUCGAAUGGUCAUACCUGGAUUGAACGCACGUACACGUUCCUUCAUAGCUGCAUGCAGUUUGCGUGUACUAGUACGCCCAUGUCUUUUUCAUGCAUACAUGUGUACCGAUGUACGUGCCCAUACAAUGCAUGGGCCAUGCACGUUCUUGCACUGGUUACUAGUAUUUGCACAUGCACUAAGGUCAUGCACGUAAGUGAUCAUCUAAACGCACACCCGAGGAGAUUGUGUACUUAGAAAAUUCAUUCAUUUCUAAGAAUAUACUUCCUCCGUCCCAUAAUAUAAGAACGUUUUUGACACUAAUGUGAUGUUAAAAACGUUCUUAUAUUUUGGGACAGAGGGAGUAUUUUCUUACUAAACCACGUACAAAAGUACGUCAAACAAAUGCCCCCUGUCGAGUCGAGCUUGAGUGCGGAGCAAGUCGGGCUUGACUCGACGCAUAAGUCUUCUUCGACGGGAAACUGGACGCAACUCAUCCGGCUGCUGCCCGUCAUCAUUUUUUUUGGGUUGGCACUUUGCAUGAAAGCUAGACAUGGAGGUUCUUAUUUCUGCCCUUCACCUAGCAUUAGUGGGCAAAACAUGGAGAAAGCCCACGUGAGCAACAUAGGGCAGCGACCACGGAUGUGUAUGUGUGCAUGCCCAAGUGAUGGCACGCCGUGCGAAGACUCGGCUGUACACCGGGACUUGCCCGCCCACGCCGUAUGUUAGCGCCAGCUUUGCGCCAUGGUGCCAUUGGUGGGAGGCGGGUUAUUUUCAGCAGCCCCAAUGGCCGAGAAAUAGAACAUGGGAUGGGCACCUCUGCACCGUCUUUUUUGUGUAUAUACGCAAUGGGAACCGGCUCGGCAAAUACACUUGGCCGCGGAUCACCGUUCGAUUGGCAGAGAAAACAGAAGCACGAGAGAAAGAAGAAUGGACAAAUAUAUACAGGGGAUACCUUGUUGGGCCACAUUGCUGCUGGCGCCUGACAACAAAGUAAACUCGGAUCUUCUUCAGUGCACGGCGAAACGCCAUGCCGCGUGCUGAAGGUUUUAUCAGACAAAUCGGAACCGUUUAGCUGCACGGUGCCACCCGACAAGAGGGAAGGGUUUCACAGCUACGCACUGGCUGUUCUGGCCAAUGCUGAAGCCAAGAAUGGUUGAGGUACCUUGUUGUGUCGUAUUGCUGCCACGACGCCUGUCAACAAAGCUUUCUCGCAUCAUCCUCAGCUCGCGGUGAAACACCAUGCCACAUGCUGAAGGUAUUAUCAGACAAGUCGGGACCGUUUAGCUGCACGGUGCCAGCCCGACAAGACUGAAGGGUUACUUCACGCUAGCCGCACUGGCGCGCUACACUGUUCCCACAUUUAAGCUCAGCGUGGACAUGCGGACGGGACAUCGGGAUGUCAUCGAUGUCUCACCCUAUCGCCGAGUGUAGCGACGACAACAUUGUGCACGCCAGCUGUUGUCGCCGAAGAUGUUUGAGGGCAUAGCGUUGCCCCCGGUGUUGUUGUUGUAGAGUCGCCGUAAUACCGACGACUGAGGGGCGUGGCCGCCUACAAUGUCAGCAGCCUGACUCGUGGAUUGGUGUUGCCGUUGUUGACGAUGACUACGGCUUGCGGUGUUGAAGACGACGUCAUCAGGGACGACCCCGUCGACGCCAAUGAUCGAGGCCCUAGCGUCGCCCCCGGUGUUGUUGUUGUUGUAGAAGCAACGUAGUGCUAACACUGAGGGACGACGCCACCCUCGAUGUUAGCGACGUUGGUUGAAGUAGCUUGGUUGCCAACAUCUGGGAGACAUGGCUUGGCGCCAUGUGAGGAGGCCGUUUGGCAAUGGGGAACUCGGCCCCUGGCCCUCCCGCCAUGGGCGUUGUAGAGGUUGUCGGUGAAGCGGACGUUUGAAGGACGGUGAUGCCCCUCGGCGCUCGUAGUGGUGUCGAGCCAAAGGUGCAUCGCUAGCACACAUAUAUGUGGGCAUCGUCUCUCAUCCGCAUAGAAACUUAGUCGCUUCUGCACAAAGUUAGAGGAACCAAGUGACUGGAAAGACCAAAUGAAAACCAACUCACGAAGAGGAAGUGAGAAAAAGAAAAAAAAAUAGCGUUUUUUUUGUUUAAAAUGUUGGAUUUUCCACUUGACACUAGCUAUGAGUGUGACGUCGGAAAAGGCUGCCGAAGGACUUAGUCAUCAGGAAUCGUCGAAAAGCCAUGACGAUCGCAACUCAAUAGCUUAUUGCCUUCUGUGUUUGUUUGUGUGUGAAUAUGUGUGUAUCACGAUGACGUGAUUGGAAUGCUUCCGAGAGGCAGCAGGGAAUCGUACCCUAGCCCAUCAUGGCAAAGAGUAACCCCACAGCUCCACCAUUCUCCCUUCCGGGCCUCAAGAACUCAGAAACUUGGGUAAGGUGUAUUUAGGGUAUGUGGUUUUGGGACAGCGGCUGAAAAACGUAUGUUCAUGCCUUUUGUUGAGGGGUGGUGGAUGACUACCUCCUGCCUUCUUUCCAGUGGUUCCCUUAUUGCUUGCACGUCGGGACUUGCUUCAGGAAUCUUGAGGUUUGCUUCAUGGACGGCCUUGGUGGCCGCGAGCUUUUGAGGAUCGUCUCCCCUUGGAGAGAAUAGCUUCAUGGGCGCCCUUGGUGGCCGCGAACUUUAGAGGAUCGUCUCCCCUUGGAGAGAAUAGCGUCAUGGAUGACCUUGGUGGCCGCGAACUUCUGGGGAUCGUCUCCCCUUGGAAGGAUUGCUUCAUUGACGGCCUUGGUGGCCGUGGGCUUCAGAAGAUUGUUUCAUCUUUCGAGGCGCGUUUGCACGCGCUUGAAGGUUUGCUUCAUAUUUCUUCAGGGACCACCUUGAGAACUUGGAAGACAGUCAUCCACCUAUGUGGACUAAAACCCUCAGGCAUUUUAUCUGGAGCUUUGUUGGCACGCCCCAGGGUUGUCAAGCGGUUACGCACCUAACCCAACUUGUGUUAGAUCGGGCAGCCCUUUCCUGAUCUUUUGCCUAGAGUCUUCCCUGGAGCAUGUGGAGUCUCUAGGAACCUGAGACACAUCCAGUAGCAUGGGGGUGUGGGGCUUCAUUGUUUAGAAGCAACCCAAGUAGUCUUCUCCGCUGCCUCUGGGAGCAUAUGGUGUGUGUGUGUGUCGUGUUUUGUGGGUAUGAGAGCCGCUCCACUAGAUAAGUCCCAAGGCAGCCAAAUCGUCCGUCACAGCUGAGUGUGGUUCGGAAAAAGCCAUGUUUUUUUAGGAUUUUGCAAUCCAUAAGAAGGGGAAAACAGAAGAAACACGAGCAAGUCCGCUUCAUGCAAUAGUGAGUGCAAUGCGGACUCUGAUAAGCCACCGAAAACUCCCCUUCUUAAAAAGCGAAAGAAGAUGGAAACAAGCCAAGAGAGAAAAAAAAAGAGAAAAGAAAGGUUUUUUUUACGCAAAGUAUUUUUUUCAAAAACCUACCGUUGAUCUGUGGCAUCGGCCGGGCUCCUUGCGAAUCAACCAGCUGACACGCACCUCCGAGGACAUGUGUCAUGGCAUGCCGGUAGGCGGCACCGGCGUUCUUCAACCCGAAAGGCAUCAUGUUGUGGUAGAAGUUGCCUUUCGAUGUUUUGAACGCGGUGUUGAUGGAGUUCAUUGUUGGCUCGAUGUAGUUGGGAACAACACCACAACUCUCAACGUCUGAUGAUUGAGAGGAGCUAGGUUCCUGGAUUUCUCCCGUCUCCUUCACUGGCGCCUGCCCCCACCGCAGGGGCCGGAAUGGCACCAAAGCGGGGACUGUCCUCCCCUGUCGAGGGAAUGACUCAUCCCCCUCUGACUUGGGGACGAACCUUGGCAGAGGGUGGUGUUGGCUUGGAUGGCUUGGAUCAGCCCACCGUCGAGUUGGCGGCUGUACUUUCGUCGAAGAUGCUCUGCGAGGAGCUCGCGGAGGCAAUCCCCUCGCAUGCGGACGAUGACGGAUCGUGUUCGAAGGUUGCUCCUUGCGAGUGGCAAGGGCAACCUCCCGAGAAAUGAGAGGUGUCGUGGUGGUGGAGGGAACAAGGUCGGAUAGCCGAUGCUCCACCUAAGAGAUCGGAACCCGUGAUGGCUCGCCUGCUUGGCCUUGUCCCGACGAGGUCAAUGAUUCCACGCUCACCAUGUCCACGGUCUGGUAGUCUGGAUUGAUGGCUUCUGGGUCUUGGGUGACCCUUUUCUCAUUAAUGGCUCGUUGGAGCCAUUCCUUGAAGGCGAUGCGAUCCUCAAUUGCGUGGCCUACGUACCUGUGAUAUGGGCAAUACAAAGGAUUGUCAUCCAUAUUUACCUGGUCGGGUCUUUGAGGUUCGGGUAGAUUCAGGGCCCGAUGCUCCAUUAGUUUGUCGAACAUAUCUUUCAGCACCUCGCGGCGAAAGAUGUACGACUUGUUGAGAAGAUCCUGCAUGGCCGCACAUCGCCUUCCCCCAGCUUGCUCGGUCCGUGCACCCAAGAUGGGCACGGUACUUCGUGGUGCUGAGGUGAGCACCCUGGUGGCGUUCGCCUCUGCCGCCACAUUUGUCUUGCCCCCACUGUUAGGGAGCUUACACGUUGAGGCAAAGCACUUGGCAGGGUCAACGGCGCUUGCGUUCUUGUAGAGCUCCAUGAUCUAUGGAGACUUGUCGAACUCCAGCUUGGUGGCUGCAACAGCUGAGCAGAGCGCUAAAGUUUCUUGGCUCACGCCGAGAAACCUCAAGCGAUCAGUGCUGCUGCAUGCCAUGGACACACAUUUCAAUGGCAUCCUCGAGAUGCAUCUCCCUGGCGAGACGCACGUAGCUGUUGCGGAAGCGAAUGAUGUAGUCAUUGAUGGACUCCUCUCGCCGCUGCCGAACUUGUGCUAGUUCGACAACAGAGAAAUCUUUCUUCAUGGCGACGAAGUGCCUCUUGAAGACUUCCUUCAUGCCUGCCUAGCUGCUGAUGGAGCCCACCGGUAAGCGACUAUACCAGUGGAAGGCGGAGCCCGUCAAUGACCCCGAGAAUUGCCAAAGUAGAAGCGAAGAGGUAUUAGCGGUGUCACCGCCAGCCGCCUCGAAGUACGCUAGAUGCUCCCGUGCAUCCCCAGUCCCGUCAAACUGGCCGAACUUCGGCGGAUGCCAACCAGCAGGGAACAACACUAGGUCGUGACAUGCUUCGUCGGGCUUCUCGAGCUCGCUUUCCAAGGUGCGGGGUGCUUGCUCAAUUGACAUCUGCUUGAGCUUCUUCGUCACCAUGUCUUUGACGAUGUCGUGGCAGUUCUUUAGCAUGAUCGGGUGUGAUGCCCCAUCGGCCACACCGGUCGGCGUCACCAAUGGUCGCCCCCGUACGCCUGGGUCUUGCUGUUGAUGCUCACCAUUGGGCGGCGCACUUGCUAGCGCCAUGGCUUGAAGCUCCUCUUCUUGCGGGUCCACCACUCGCCUUGGUGUCCCCGGCGCCCCGAGGUUGUUGUUCAUGAUGAGCUCGAUAAACCGAUCAACUUUUGCGGUUAGUUGAUCGAUUGUACGGCCCUGCUCGCGCACCUGAUCGGCAAGGUUCGCUUCGAGCGGUGCUCCAUUUCCUGCAAGACGGGAUGGGUUAGCGUUGGAGGCUCUCAAUGCCUCCAUCUCUGCUGCUUUCGCCGCCUCCUGGUCGGCGUCACCAUCGGUGGCCACAUGUACGGGCGUCGUGUGAAGAUCUUCAAAGCCGCCUUCAUAGUGGGAUAGAACAGACUGAGCGAGCUCAUGGUAGGGCUGUUGGAAAUAUGCCCUAGAGGCAAUAAUAAAUAGGUUAUUAUUAUAUUUCCUUGUUCAUGAUAAUCGUUUAUUAUCCAUGCUAGAAUUGUAUUGAUAGGAAACUCAAAUACAUGUGUGGAUACAUAGACAACACCAUGUCCCUAGUAAGCCUCUAGUUGACUAGCUCGUUGAUCAAUAGAUGGUUAUGGUUUCCUGACCAUGGACAUUGGAUGUCGUUGAUAACGGGAUCACAUCAUUAGGAGAAUGAUGUGAUGGACGAGACCCAAUCCUAAGCCUAGCACAAGAUCGUGUAGUUCGUUUGCUCAGAGCUUUUCUAAUGUCAAGUAUCAUUUCCUUAGACCAUGAGAUUGUGCAACUCCCGGAUACCGUAGGAAUGCUUUGGGUGUACCAAACGUCACAACGUAACUGGGUGGCUAUAAAGGUGCACUACAGGUAUCUCCGAAAGUGUCUGUUGGGUUGGCACGAAUCAAGACUGGGAUUUGUCACUCCGUGUAAACGGAGAGGUAUCUCUGGCCCCACUCGGUAGGACAUCAUCAUUAUGUGCACAAUGUGACCAAGGAGUUGAUCACGGGAUGAUGUGAGUUAUGGAACGAGUAAAGAGACUUGCCGGUAACGAGAUUGAACAAGGUAUCGGGAUACCGACGAUCGAAUCUCGGGCAAGUAACAUACCGAUAGACAAAGGGAAUUGUAUACGGGAUUGAUUGAAUCCCCGACAUCGUGGUUCAUCCGAUGAGAUCAUCGUGGAACAUGUGGGAGCCAACAUGGGUAUCCAGAUCCCGCUGUUGGUUAUUGACCAGAGAACGUCUCGGUCAUGUCUGCAUGGUUCCCGAACCCGUAGGGUCUACACACUUAAGGUUCGAUGACGCUAGGGUUAUAGGGAAAAGAUAUACGUGGUUACCGAAUGUUGUUCGGAGUCCCGGAUGAGAUCCCGGACGUCACGAGGAGUUCCGGAAUGGUCCGGAGGUAAAGAUUUAUAUAUGGGAAGUCCUGUUUUGGUCACCGAAAAAGUUUCGGGUGAUAUCGGUAAUGUACCGGGACCACCGGGAGGGUCCCGGGGGUCCACCAAGUGGGGCCACCAGCCCCAGGAGGCUGCAUGGGCCAAGUGUGGGAGGGGACCAGCCCAGGUGGGCUGGUGCGCCCCCCCCCCACCAAGGCCCAAGGCGCAUGGGAGAGUGGGAGGGGGCAAACCCUAGGUCCAGAUGGGCCUUAGGGCCCAUCUAGUGGGGCGCCCCCCCUCUCCUCCCCUUGGCCGCCCCCCUUGAUGGGAUCUAGGGCUGGCCGCCAGCCCUUGGGGUGGAAACCCUAGAGGGGGCGCAGCCCCUCCCCCCCCUAUAUAUAGUUGAGGUUUGGGGCUGCCCAACACACGAGAACGUCUCUCUUUCGGCGCAGCCCUACCCCUCUCCCUCCUCCUCCUCUCCCGCGGUGCUUGGCGAAGCCCUGCGGGAUUGCCACGCUCCUCCAUCACCACCACGCCGUCGUGCUGCUGCUGGAUGGAGUCUUCCCCAACCUCUCCCUCUCUCCUUGCUGGAUCAAGGCGUGGGAGACGUCACCGGGCUGCACGUGUGUUGAACGCGGAGGCACCGUUCUUCGGUGCUUAGAUCGGAAUCAACCGCGAUCUGAAUCACUACGAGUACGACUCCUUCAUCUGCGUUCUUGCAACGCUUCCGCAUCGCGAUCUACAAUGGUAUGUAGAUGCACUCCCCUUCCCCUCGUUGCUAGAUUACUCCAUAGAUUGAUCUUGGUGAUGCGUAGAAAAUUUUGAAUUUCUGCUACGUUCCCCAACAGUGGCAUCAUGAGCUAGGUCUAUGCGUAGUUUCUAUGCACGAGUAGAACACAAAGUAGUUGUGGGCGCAGAUGUUGCCAAUUCUUCUUGCCGCUACUAGUCUUAUCUUGUUUCGGCGGCAUUGUGGGAUGAAGCGGCCAGGACCGACCUUACACGUACGCUUACGUGAGACAGGUUCCACCGACUGACAUGCACCAGUUGCAUAAGGUGGCUAGCGGGUGUCUGUCACUCCCACUUUAGUCGGAACGGAUUCGAUGAAAAGGGUCCUUAUGAAGGGUAAAUAGAAAUUGGCAUAUCACGUUGUGGUCUUACGUAGGUAAGAAACGUUCUUGCUAGAAACCUCUACAAGCCACGUAAAAACUUGCAACAACAAUUAGAGGACGUCUAACUUGUUUUUGCAGCAUGUGCUAUGUGAUGUGAUAUGGCCAGAAGAUGUGAUGAAUGAUAUAUGUGAUGUAUGAGAUUGAUCAUAUUCUUGUAAUAGGAAUCACGACUUCCAUGUCGAUGAGUAUGACAACCGGCAGGAGCCAUAGGAGUUGUCUUUAUUUUUUGUAUGACCUGCGUGUCAUUGAAUAACGCCAUGUAAAUUACUUUACUUUGUUGCUAAGCGCGUUAGCCAUAGAAGUAGAAGUAAUCGUUGGUGUGACAACUUCAUGAAGACACAAUGAUGGAGAUCAUGAUGAUGGAGAUCAUGGUGUCAUGCCGGUGACAAAGAUGAUCAUGGUGCCCCGAAGAUGGAGAUCAAAGGAGCAAGAUGAUAUUGGCCAUAUCAUGUCACUAUUUGAUUGCAUGUGAUGUUUAUCAUGUUAUGCAUCUUAUUUUCUUAGAACGACGGUAGCAUAAAUAAGAUGAUCCCUCACUAAAAUUUCAAGAGACGUGUUUCCCCUAACUGUGCACCGUUGCGAAGGUUCGUUGUUUCGAAGCACCACGUGAUGAUUGGGUGUGAUAGAUUCUAACGUUCGAAUACAACGGGUGUUGACGAGCCUAGCAUGUACAGACAUGGCCUCGGAACACAUGCGAAACACUUAGGUUGACUUGACGAGCCUAGCAUGUACAGACAUGGCCUCGGAACACAAGAGACCGAAAGGUCGAACAUGAGUCGUAUAGUAGAUACGAUCAACAUGGAGAUGUUCACCGAUGAUGACUAGUCCGUCUCACAUGAUGAUCGGACACGGCCUAGUUUGACUCGGAUCAUGUAUCACUUAGAUGACUAGAGGGAUGUCUAUCUGAGUGGGAGUUCAUUCAAUAAUCAGAUGAACUUCAUUAUCAUGAACAUAGUCAAAAGGUCUUUGCAAAUUAUGUCAUACCCUUUAGUUCUACUGUUUAAGAUAUGUUCCUAGAGAAAAUUUAGUUGAAAGUUGGUAGUAGCAAUUAUGCGGGCUGGGUCCGUAAACUGAGGAUUGUCCUCAUUGCUGCACAGAAGGCUUAUGUCCUUAAUGCACCGCUCGGUGUGCUGGCCUCAGCGUCGUCUGUAGAUGUUACGAAACAUCUGACAUACACGUUUUGAUGACUACGUGAUAGUUCAGUGCGUAAUGCUAACGGUUUAGAAUUGUGGCACCAAAGACGUUUUGAAACGUCGCAGAACAUGUGAGAUGUUCCGAAGACUGAAAUUGGGAUUUCGGACUAGUGUCCACGUCAAGAGGUAUGAGACCUCUGACAAGUUUCUUAAGCCUGCAAACUAAGGGAGAAAAGCUCAAUCGUUGAGCAUGUGCUCAGAUUGUCUGAGUACUACAAUCACUUGAAUCGAGUGGGAGUUAAUCUUCUAGAUGAACUAUAACAUAUCAAGGAUGGACAUGAUGAUCCUUGAGAAACUCGCGAUGUUUGACACCGCGAAAGUAGAAAUCAAGAAGGAGCAUCAAUUGUUGAUGGUUAGUAAAACCAUUAGUUUCUAGAAGGGCAAGGGCAAAAGGGAUACUUCAACAACAAAUCGUUUGCUGCUGUAGUGAAGAAUCCCAAGGUUGAACCCAAACCCGAGACUAAGUGCUUCUGUAAUGAGGGGAACGGUCAAUGAACAGUACUACCCUAGAUACUUGGUAGAUGAGAAGGCAGGCAAGGUCGACAAAAGUAUAUUGGAUAUACGUUAUAUGAAUGUGUACUUUACUAGUACUCCUGGCAGGACCAGGGUAUUAGAUACCGGUUCGGUUGCUAAGUGUUAGUAACUCGAAAUAAAAGCUGCGGAAUAAACUGAGACUGGCUAAAGGUGAGAUGACGAUGUGCGUUGGAAGUGUUUCCAAGGUUGAUGUGAUCAAGCAUCGCAUGCUCCCUCUACUAUCGAGAUUUGGUAUUUGCGUUGAACAUGAUUGGAUUAUGUUUAUCGCAAUACGGUUAUUCAUUUAAGGAGAAUAAUGGUUACUCUGUUUAUUUGAAUAAUACAUUCAAUGGUCUUGCACCUAAAAUGAAUCUCAAUCGCAGUGAUACACAUGUUCGUGCCAAAAGAUAUAAAAUAGAAAUGAUAGUACCACAUACUUGUGACACUGCAAUUAGAGUCAUAUUGGUAUAGAACGCAUGAAGAAGCUCCAUGUAGAUGGAUCUUUGGACUCAGUCGUUUUUGAAAAGAUUGAGACAUGCGAACCAUGUCUAUUGGUAUAUAUGCAUGAAGAAACUCCAUGCAGAUGGAUCGUUUGGACUCACUUGAUUUUGAAUCACUUGAGACAUGCAAAUCAUACCACAUGGGCAAGAUGACUGAAAGGCCUCAUUUUCAGUAAGAUGGAACAAGAGAGCAACUUAUUGGAAGUAAUACAUUUUGAUGUAUGCAGUCCAAUGAGUGCUGAGGCAUGCAGUGGAUAUCGUUAUGUUCUUACUUCACAGAUGAUUUGAGUAGAUGCUGAGUGUAUUUACUUGAUGAAACACAAGUCUGGAUUAUUGAAAGGUUCAAGUAAUUUUAGAGUGAAGUUGAAGAUCGUCGUGACAAGAGGAUAAAAUGUCCGUGAUAUGAUCAUAGAGAUGAGUAUCUGAGUUACGAGUUUGGCACACAAUUAAGACAUUGUGGAAAGUGUUUCACAAUUAAUACCGCCUGGAAUACCAUAGCGUGAUGGUGUGUCCGAACAUCAUAACUGCACCCUAUUGGAUAUGGUGCAUACCAUGAUGUCUCUUAUCGAAUUACCACUAUCGUUUAUGGGUUAGGCAUUAGAGACAACCGCAUUCACUUUAAAAGGGGCACCACGCAAUUCCGUUGAGACGACACCGUUUAGAGAAACCUAAGUUGUCGUUUCUUAAAAGUUUGGGGCUGCGAAGCUGAUGUGAAAAAGUUUCAGGCUGAUAAGCUCGAACCCAAAGCGGACAAAUGCAUCUUCAUAGAAUACCCAAAAGAGUUGGGUAUACCUCCUAUUUCAGAACUGGAAGCAAAAGUAAUUGCUUCUAGGAACGGGUCCUUUCUCGAGGAAAAGUUUCUCUCGAAAGAAUUGAGUGGGAGGAUGGUGGAGACUUGAUAAGGUUAUUGAACCGCCACUUCGACUAGUGUAUAGCAGGGCACAAGAAGUUGUUUCCUGUGGCACCUACACCAAUUGAAGUGGAAGCUUAUGAUAGUGAUCAUGAAACUUCGGAUUAAGUCACUACCAAACCUCGUAGGACGGCGAGGAUGCGUGCUACUUUAGAGUGGUACGUGAUCCUGUCUUGAAAGUCAUAUUGUUAGACAACAAUGAACCUACGAGCUAUGGAGAAGCGAUGGUGGGCCCAUAUUCCGACAAAUGGUUAGAAGCCAUGAAAUCCGAGAUAAAUGGAUCUUUAAGAAGAAGACGGACGUUGACGGUAAUGUUACCGUCUAUGAAGCUCGACUUGUGGCUAAGAGUAUUUCCACAAGUUCAAGGAGUUGACUACGAUGAGAUUUUUCUCAUCCGUAGCGAUGCUUAAGUCCGUCGGAAUCAUGUUAGCAUUAGCUGCAUUUAUGAAAUCUGGCAGAUGGAUGUCAAAACAAGUUUCCUUACCAGUUUUCGUAAGGAAAGGUUGUAUGUGAUACAAUCAGAUGGGUUUUGUCGAUCCUAAGGAUGCUAAAAGGUAUGCUAGCUCCAGCGAUCCUUCCAAGGACUAGAGCAAGCAUCUCGGAGUCAGAAUAUAUGCUUUGAUGGAGUGAUCAAAGUUUUUGGGUUUAUACAAAGUUUGUUAGAAACUUGUAUUUACAAUAAAGUGAGUGGGAGCGCUACAACAUUUCUGAUAAGUAUAUGUGAAUGACAUAUUGUUGAUCCGAAAUGAUGUAAAAUUUCUGGAAAGCAUAAAGGGUUGUUUGAAAGGAGUUUUUCAAAGGAAAACCUGGAUAAAGCUGCUUACAUAUUGGGCAUCAAGAUCUAUAGAGAUAGAUCAAGACGCCUGAUGAUACUUUCAAAGAACGCACACCUUGACAUGAUUUUGAAAGAGUUCAAAAUAGAUCAGCAAAGAAGGAGUUCUUGGCUGUGUUACAAGGUGUGAGUAUUGAGUAAGACUCAAGACCUGACCACAGCAGAAGAGAGAGAAAGGACGAAGGUCGUCCCCUAUGCUUCAGACGUAGGUUCUACAGUAUGCUAUGCUGUGUACCGCACAUGAAGUGUGCCUUGCCAUAAGUUGGUCAAGGGGUACAAUAGUGAUCCGGGAAUGGAUCACAUGAUAGCGGUCGAACUUAUCCUUAGUAUCUAGUGGACUAAGGAAUUUUCUCGAUUAUGGAGGUGAAAAGGAGUUCGUCGUAAAGGGUUACGUCGAUGCGAACUUUGACACUAAUCCGGAUGGCUCUGAGUAGUAAACCGGAUUCGUAUAGUAGAGCAGUUAUUUGAAAUGGCUCGAAGUAGCGCGUGGUAGCAUCCGCAAGAUGACAUAGAUAUUCGUAAAGCACACACGGAUCUGAAAGGUUCAGACCCAUUGACUAAUAACCUCUCUCACAAGCAUAACAUGAUCAAACCAGAACUCAUUGAGUGUUAAUCACAUAGUGAUGUGAACUAGAUUGUUGACUCUAGUGAACUCUUUGGAUGUUGGUCACAUGGUUAUGUGACCUAUGAGUGUUAAUCACAUGGUGAUGUGAACUAGAUUAUUGACUCUAGUGCAAGUGGGAGGCUGUUGGAAAUAUGCCCUAGAGGCAAUAAUAAAUAGGUUAUUAUUAUAUUUCCUUGUUCAUGAUAAUCGUUUAUUAUCCAUGCUAGAAUUGUAUUGAUAGGAAACUCAAAUACAUGUGUGGAUACAUAGACAACACCAUGUCCCUAGUAAGCCUCUAGUUGACUAGCUCGUUGAUCAAUAGAUGGUUAUGGUUUCCUGACCAUGGACAUUGGAUGUCGUUGAUAACGGGAUCACAUCAUUAGGAGAAUGAUGUGAUGGACGAGACCCAAUCCUAAGCCUAGCACAAGAUCGUGUAGUUCGUUUGCUCAGAGCUUUUCUAAUGUCAAGUAUCAUUUCCUUAGACCAUGAGAUUGUGCAACUCCCGGAUACCGUAGGAAUGCUUUGGGUGUACCAAACGUCACAACGUAACUGGGUGGCUAUAAAGGUGCACUACAGGUAUCUCCGAAAGUGUCUGUUGGGUUGGCACGAAUCAAGACUGGGAUUUGUCACUCCAUGUAAACGGAGAGGUAUCUCUGGGCCCACUCGGUAGGACAUCAUCAUUAUGUGCACAAUGUGACCAAGGAGUUGAUCACGCGAUGAUGUGAGUUACGGAACGAGUAAAGAGACUUGCCGGUAACGAGAUUGAACAAGGUAUCGGGAUACCGACGAUCGAAUCUCGGGCAAGUAACAUACCGAUAGACAAAGGGAAUUGUAUACGGGAUUGAUUGAAUCCCCGAUAUCGUGGUUCAUCCGAUGAGAUCAUCGUGGAACAUGUGGGAGCCAACAUGGGUAUCCAGAUCCCGCUGUUGGUUAUUGACCGGAGAACGUCUCGGUCAUGUCUGCAUGGUUCCCGAACCCGUAGGGUCUACACACUUAAGGUUCGAUGACGCUAGGGUUAUAGGGAAAAGAUAUACGUGGUUACCGAAUGUUGGUCGGAGUCCCGGAUGAGAUCCCGGACAUCACGAGGAGUUCCGGAAUGGUCCGGAGGUAAAGAUUUAUAUAUGGGAAGUCCUGUUUUGGUCACCGGAAAAGUUUCGGGUGAUAUCGGUAAUGUACCGGGACCACCGGGAGGGUCCCGUGGGUCCACCAAGUGGGGCCACCAGCCCCAGGAGGCUGCGUGGGCCAAGUGUGGGAGGGGACCAGCCCCAGGUGGGCUGGUGCGCCCCCCCCACCAANNNNNNNNNNNNNNNNNNNNNNNNNNNNNNNNNNNNNNNNNNNNNNNNNNNNNNNNNNNNNNNNNNNNNNNNNNNNNNNNNNNNNNNNNNNNNNNNNNNNNNNNNNNNNNNNNNNNNNNNNNNNNNNNNNNNNNNNNNNNNNNNNNNNNNNNNNNNNNNNNNNNNNNNNNNNNNNNNNNNNNNNNNNNNNNNNNNNNNNNNNNNNNNNNNNNNNNNNNNNNNNNNNNNNNNNNNNNNNNNNNNNNNNNNNNNNNNNNNNNNNNNNNNNNNNNNNNNNNNNNNNNNNNNNNNNNNNNNNNNNNNNNNNNNNNNNNNNNNNNNNNNNNNNNNNNNNNNNACACGAGAACGUCUCUCUUUCGGCGCAGCCCUACCCCUCUCCCUCCUCCUCCUCUCCCGCGGUGCUUGGCGAAGCCCUGCGGGAUUGCCACGCUCCUCCAUCACCACCACGCCGUCGUGCUGCUGCUGGAUGGAGUCUUCCCCAACCUCUCCCUCUCUCCUUGCUGGAUCAAGGCGUGGGAGACGUCACCGGGCUGCACGUGUGUUGCACGCGGAGGCACCGUUCUUCGGUGCUUAGAUCGGAAUCAACCGCGAUCUGAAUCGCUACGAGUACGACUCCUUCAUCCGCUUUCUUGCAAUGCUUCCGCAUCGCGAUCUACAAUGGUAUGUAGAUGCACUCACCUUCCCCUCGUUGCUAGAUUACUCCAUAGAUUGAUCUUGGUGAUGCGUAGAAAAUUUUGAAUUUCUGCUACGUUCCCCAACAAGGGCGGGGCGCUUGAGUGCAUUUCCAAUGAAGGCGAGGAGGAUGUGUCGGAGGAGCUCUCCUCGCCGUCGUGGUCCUCCGGCGGCUCGCCGUCGUCGUCAUUCCCACGCGUCACGCUUUCGCGUUCCAUGGACUUUAGUCGCGUGUUGGCCCCGGGCCGACUUGCAACUUGGUGUAGUUCCUCCGGAUCUUCGGGAAGGUGCGUCGUGAUGUCGGUGUAGUGGCGCGGGGAUAUGUCCGGGUGAUGUGCGACAUCACCAUCGGACGUCGAUCCUCCCUCCGCUGUGAUGGGAAGACAUGGGGCAGUUGAACUUGCACCUUUUUCAGAGGUGGAUUAGCUCGAUUCGGGCUUCGUCUCGACGCCUUUGAACCAUGAUCGAACAUGUCCUAGGCGUGGAAGUAAUGUCGCACGGAAAUUGGCCCUUGGAUUUGGCACAAUCUCCUCGUCGGAUGGGUAGGAGAAAUCAUGGGUGAUGUGCGGCGGUUGCCACGCGCCAUCUUCUUCAAGCCUAGUACGCACUCCUAGAGUGCCGCAUGAGGCCAUGUUCUUCUCGUCGCCCUUCUUGGCUCCCGCCCCCUGCAGUGCGGUAGGCCUAGCCCCUUGGUCCCCUUGGUCGGGGGUACCGAGGGUAGGCACCUAGGCGAUCGUUGCAUCGAGAUGGAGAGAAGCAUUAGACUGCAACUCAAGAGACCCUACCUGGAGGGUUGAGGUUUCCUUGAGUGCGGCACUGGCCUGCAACUCAGACGCAUCCUCGACUCCCUCCAUAGGAGAGGCAGAUUCGAGGGUGCCCCAUGAUGUUGGGGCGUAGGAGUUGGAGAAGCAUUCACCUGGCUCUCCCACUUGAGGAUGGUUAGGGGGCGAAGCGGUGGAACGGCCCCGCCUCCUUGCUCCGCGCACUAGAUUCUGCCCUUCGUGGCUUCGGGGUUAAGCGGCUGAGAAGGUAGUUAUACCUCUCAUGCCGCUCCAAGUCGGGCGAGAUGCAAAAUGAGAUUUGAUUGUUCUCCUGAACAACCUCGCCAUCAGCCCGAACACGGACUUUAGUGUGUCGCAGCACAAGCUCCUCGAGCUCUGUGAGAGCACCGUGUGCCCUUAGUGAGAUCGGAGGUGUAGGAAGAAGGGGCGGCGCACCCUGCCGAGCCGCCGAUGCCGUAGAUGUUGGCCCCAUGAUAGGGGGAGCCACGUUGUUCCUUGGUGGUCGCACCUGCACUUGGUCCGCCUGCCUGGGAGGAGAUGGGACCCGUAUAGGGGCCGAAGCCCUAGGAGGGCUCCGCGCUCGCCCUUGUGUUGCUUGGUCGCGGCCCGAGGAAUCGCCUCAGUGCCACGGCCACCUAUUUCCGCGCAGCGGAACUGCUUUAGCCCCCCGCAAGACGGCUGGUGUUGGAGAAGUCCGUCGACGGGGCGCCAAAGUUUAGCGCUCGUGUUGGAGGCGAUGAUUCUGGGGUAGUCGCCGGGUCCUACUUGCCUCCUGUGCGGAUGACCCCGCAUGAUCUUCAUGACCUUCAAGCCGCCUUUGAAGGUGGCCCAUCUGGUCUUGGUGUUGGCAGAGCUCUUGCCGCAAAUCCUCUUCAUGAGGUGUAGGCGCCUCGUUUCGAAGAACAGAGUACUUGUUGUUGGGGAAGGACCGCCCAUCGCCUGCCGACAUGUGAGCGGCCGACAUGUGUAGGCAUGGCGCCCACAUGCUCGGCGGGCAGACAGAGCGGUUGUCGAGGUCAAAGGCGGUUGUGCGGCCUGGUAGCACGGGCUGCUUGCGGGAUCGUCGCUUCCAGAACUCCCGCAUGAUCGCCCGCCUUACCUGCUCCUUGACCUUCGAUGGCUCGUUCGCCCAUUGGUCGGGGAACAAGUCGUACGGAGGGGUCAAGGUGCUAGGGAAGGUGAACACCUUGUGUGCAAGCUCCAACGCGCCCAUCGACCAGUCCUCUUCGGGGACCGAGUUCUGAGCUAUGCAUGAGCUGAUUUAUCGGUGGAGCUUUUGUACCUUCUAGUACUUCCUCCUGUUGUUGCGUAGUCGAUGGGAGCUAUAUGACAAAGGAUCGUUUGCCAUAAGAAUCCGAAGCUCGAAGUAGACGGCCUCGAGAGCCUCCAGUAGCUCGACCUCCGUGCGCCGACUGGUCGUUGUAGGCAGCUUCGGCUCAGCACUCGGCAUCGGUGCACGGACCGAAGCAUCGCCAACCCACCUGCUGGUGGCCUGGACACGUAGCUUUUCGGCAACCUCAAUGUCGCCCUUCAUCUCCGCGAUCAUGGAGUCCUUCAAGAGGGUGCGCGCCUCGAGCAUGAGCUCACGGCGCGCCUUCUUGGCCUUGGCGACGGCCCCUUUUGAGCCUUCUUCGACUCCAUAGCCUGGAAUUGAGACGGCUCAUGCGCCUCAUGCACAUGCACCUUUGCGCCAUGCUUGAAGCUGACCAUCGGCGGGAGUGACCCAAACUGGAUCACUUCCGGCACAAAGUCAUCGUUGGCGCCAGAAACACCACCUCCAGGAAGAUGGGUAUCAAUCAGCGGAGUUCCACGCUGACGAUCCUCAUGCAGCAUGCUGCGAAGUUGGAGGAAUGAGCAAAGACGAAGCCGCGACAACGGCGCAGCAGAGAUGGGAGGAGAACCACUCCCACCGGGCGUGCCAAUUUGUUUGACACGAAAAAGGAAAGACUGCGCUCAUACAAAAAGAAUAGAGGGUUUUGUAUAAGCGUCUCCCGUGACCUAAGGGUACAAAGUGUUGCGGGCGUGCCAGUGUACAAAGUACACAAAUAUAAAAAGAGGAAAAGAAAAAGUGAGGUCUACUGGCGCGGCCAAGGGAUCAAGCGAUCAUGGUCUCCUGGUUCCCAAGGGCCUCGGAAAGCCCCCGGUUAAUUACUCCCGCAGAUAGCACCGCAGGACACCUCCGAUUAAGCUGCGCAGUCAUCGUUCUUCGGUCUUCGCUUCGCGUUCCACAUGCAUGGUGGUGGUUUGUGUAUGGCGGCGGCAGAGUCCGUGUACGGAGUGGUACACGCGCCGUCGAAAACGUGGCCGUUGCUCCGGCCACGCCCGCCUACGCAGUCUUGCCUCGUCGGCCUUGAGCGGCGUCGAUGUGGUUGCUGAAGUAGCAUGGAUGGUUGGGCUUGGCUUGGACGUCGUCCAUGACGUUGUAGAUUCGGCGGGAGUGCGAGGGCUAUGCCCCGCGGGAGUAGAUCUUGAACGGAAAAGAAGGAAUGGAUGGACGUGCAACACAUGGAGUGCGCACACCCGUCGAUGACCGCCUACACCGCCGCCAAAUAGCGGAGGAAGUCGCCACCUGGUGCCGUUCGAUGUGGCCGGCAGUGGUAGAUGGGCCGCACGCCAAUGAGCGUGGCACCGACACGGAGUGCCGACGGUGACGCUGAGCCCAUCUCCAUGAUGGAUGCGUCCGAACCGGGAGCCGCUAGACUAGACAUGAGCGGACCCGGCACGUGUGACACGUGUUCGUGCCGACGAAGAGGGAGGCUGCCAGAUACGCCUAAGAGUGUCCCGACCCCAAGCGGACGAUGUCUCCGCCGCCAUAGUUACGACGAGUCAUCGUGACUCGUCGAGCGCCGCGCCGCCUCCAUGGUUACGAUGAGUCAUCGUGACUCGGCAAACGUCACGCCACCGCCAGCGCGUUGAACAUUCCAUGUCGCCGAGUCCCGGCCAGCCCAUGGCGCCUCCAUGGACCGGCGAGGCAGCGGCGAAGGAAACCUGGCGACGCGGCGAAGCCUCGCCCAGGCGCCGCGAAUGGGUGUAGGUAGAAGGGGUGGCGCACUAGAUGGCGCCGAGUCGAGAUGCAUGUCGACGAGUCCCGGCCAGCCCAUGGCGCCUCCAUGGACCGGUGAGACGGGGCGCAUAAGGCCUCGCGAUGCGGCGGUGCCUCGCCCAGGCGUCGCCGAUGGUGUAAGUAGAAGGGGGCGCACUAGAGUGCGCCGAGUCGAACGAUGUGUGCCUCCGAGUCCCGGCACGAUGGUGUUGCUGGCAGACUCGGCGAUGGAGGGUGCGCGGGAGACCGCGCAUGGUCGACGGCCCCGGUACGUCGUCCUCAUGUGCGGAGAGUGCGCCGGGGGCGCGCGUGGGCGGCAGCCCCGACACGUUGUCGCCAUCUUCGCCGUAGUUGUCGUCUUACGCCGAGAGUGCGUCGAGGGCGCCCACCCCCGGCAUGUCGUCGCUGAUGGUGUGUCCGGCAUGGAAGGACCGCCGGGGGCUGCACACGGAGGGCAACACCGGCGCGUCGUCGCCGGUGGUGAGUCCGGCAUGAAGGGGUCGCCGGGGGCUGCACAUGAAAGACAACCCCGACAUGUUGUCGCCAGUGAUGAGUCUGACGUGAGGGGGUCACCGGGGGCUGCACGCGAAAGGCAACCCCGACGCGUUAUCGCCAGUCAUGAGUCCGGCAUGAAGUGUUCGCGGGGGGUUGCACAUGAAGGGCAGCCCGGCGCGUCGUCGCUGGUAGUGAGUCCGGCGUGAUGGGAUCGCCGGGGGCUGCACAUGAAGGGCAACCCCGGCGUGUCGUCUUCAAGAGCAUCGAGAGCCAACGUCGGCUGCCGGCUCCAUCUCCGACCGUGCGGCCGCAGCUCCAACCGCCAUCAUCGGGAUGUAGAGAGAAGGGAUAAAAGAGAUUAGUAUAUGUACUCACCUUGGGAAAAGACGACCGGCAUGAUGUCGAUCUUCGUCGGCGGCUCGAUGAGCCUUGCCCGGCUGUGUACGGGAGUCUCGGCCGCCUGUGCGAGCACUCCCGUAUGGCGCGUGCGUCGGGAGUAGCCUUGGGCUCCUGUCCCUGUUGGAUCUGCUGGUGGGUAGAUGGAUGGAUGUGUUGCCUGAUGCCGGAGGUGCGUGUUCGUCUCCCUCUGGCCGUCCCUUCCCUCCUGGCCCUGCCCCCUCCUGGGAUGGAUGGAUGUGGUGGUAUUUAUAGAGGGGGUGGAAAGAGCGAGGCCGCUGCACCACCGCCCCGUCGUUCCGAUCUUUGGGUACAAGGGACGUUCUUCUUGGCCGGUACGUACAUGGCGCCAUGUGGCUGCCAGUGGGCCCGCCUCCCCGCUGGGCACCGGAUGCCAGCGCGUAUUUGAGUACGAUACGCCUCCUUACUGGCUGGUACACAGGUAUUUGGGUACGUACACAUACGCGGGCAAUCGAGCGAAUACGUGCAUUUUGCUGCGUACAACCCGGUCAGUACGCUCGAAUGGUCAUACCUGGAUUGAACGCACGUACACGUUCCUUCAUAGCUGCAUGCAGUUUUUGCGUACUAGUACGCCCAUGUCUUUUUCAUGAGUUAAUUGCACAGAAGUAUCACAAUUGGGGCAUCACAUGCAGAUUGGUACCACGAUUGCUAAUUUUUACGUGUCAGUACGAGCAUUGCUUCAGACUUUUGCAAAAAGGUCUAAACCGCGUAUAAACACGUAUUGACGGUGCAUCUGACUGGCGGGGGCCACCUGUCAGGCGCCGACGUGGCAAUUUUUUUACAGAAAACCCCCUAAACUCUCGUCCCCGUGCGCGUCGGCAUCCUUCCCGAAGACUAGGUUGUGGAGGAGCUCGUCGCGUGAGAUGCCGGACUGAGCCUUGUCGGUGUCGUUGAGAACGACGGCGGCAGCUUCGGCGAAGUAGGCUGUCAGGUCGGCGUAGUCCCACUCCCUCGUCGCGCCCCCUACUUCGCUCGAUGGUCGUCGUCCCAGAUGUCCUCUGUACGGCGUUUGGGCCAAUCUCGCAGGGGGCGGCCGGGGGCUCUCGUCCGCCGCCGCCGGCCGCAGCUCCUGGCUGGCAAUCCAGGCACGGUCGUCGCCCAAGGAGCCCCGUCUCUCCCUUCCCUGAGAGCCGGCUGCCACUCCGGCGCCGGCGGCCACCGUCCCCGUCGGUCGCCACUCCGGGGCCGACGUCCACCUCCUUCCUCGGGUGCCCUUCUUCCCCAGGCGCCCCCCUUCCCCCUCUGCCGCCGUGAUGGUCUCGCGGGUCUCCCUCUCUGGGUUGUCGCCCUCUCGCUCCGCACCCGCCUCGCCGCCCUCCGUCGCCGCUCGCCGCUGCUGUUGCCUCUCCUCCCCGUCCCCUUCCGGAGCGGCGCGGUGGCUGUGCGCAUGGCUUCGUCGGACGCGGGGGCGGCGCCUCAGCUCGGCUCCACCAUGGAGGUGCCCAGCGCGGCGGGGCCCGUGCGGGUCGUGGCGGCGGCGGGCCUCCCCGAGGCGGACUUCAGGAAGGCGCUGGAGUCGGCGCUGUUCAGGCGGUGGCUGGAGAGCCUGCAGGCGGAGAGGGGCCUGCUCGCCCGCAGGAAGCUCAGCCUCCGCCAGAUCCUCAUCCAGGGGCUCCCCUCUUUCUCCCGCAUCGAAAUGUUUGAGCUCUAAUAACGAUUUCGUCGGGGGAUUAGUGGAUGGAUGGCACAUCUGAAUUUGAUGCGUGCAGGGGGUGGACAUGUUCGGGCAGCGCCGCCGCGGAGAGGGCGAACCGGAGGGUGGCAUGGCGGCGGGGCGUGGGAGGCGCGGGGACGAGGAGGCGGGCGGCGUGGACGCGCACGGGGACGAGAGUUUAGGGGGUUUUCUGUUAAAAAAAUGCCACAUCGGCGCCUGACAGGUGGCCCCCGCCAGUCAGAUACGCCGUCAAUACGUGUUUAUACACGGUUUAGACCUUUUUGCAAAAGUCUGAAGCAAUGCUGGUACUGACACGUAAAAAUUAGCAAUCGUGGUACCAUGUGCAUGGGAUGCCCCAAUUGUGGUACUUCUGUGCAAUUAACUCCUUUUUCAUGCAUACGUGUGUACCGAUGUACGUGCCCAUCCAAUGCAUGGGCCAUGCACGUUCUUGCACUGGUUACUAGUAUUUGCACAUGCACUAAGGUCAUGCACGUAAGUGAUCAUCUAAACGCACACCCGAGGAGAUUGCGUACUUAGAAAAUUCAUUCAUUUCUAAGAAUAUAUUUUCUUGCUAAACCACGUACAAAAGUACGUCAAACACUUUGCUAAUGUUUGAACUUUGUUCGCUAUUUUGAAUUUGGAGACUAAUAUGAUGAACUCUAUUGUGUUAUGUUUAUAUUCUGUGCUGUAACGUAUUUCGUAACCUGUGCAAAUACCAGAAAAGCAAAAAAUUAUAAUUCCUAAUAUUCAUAGUAGUGGCGCACCAUAUUGAGAAUUAGUGGCCGCACCAAGAUAAAUACCAGUGGCGCAUUAUCGGGCAUAGUAAUGGCACACUUGGGGCAUAGGUGAAGGCAAAUAUGGCCCCCAGUAGUGGCGCACCAUAUUGAGCAUUAGUGGCGCACCAAGGCUAAAUACCAGUGGCACAUUAUGGGGCAUAGUAAUGGCGCACUUGGGGGCAUACGUGGAGGUAAAUAUGGCCCCCUAGGAGGCAUAGUAAUGGCGCACUGUUGGACAUAGUAAUGGCGCACUAUGUGGUGCGCCAAUAUUAUCUGGGAUACUAAUGGCGCACCAGAGGUGUGUCAUUACUAUUUGUUACUAGUGGCGUGUUAAUAGUGGCGCACCUAUAGUGCGUCAUUAAUAGCAAAAACUGGUGCGCCACUAACAGCCUUUUUUCUAGUAGUGAUGUGUCAUAUGCACAGGCAUUAUGUGUAAAGUAAGCAGAUACAAUUCAACAAAGUUAGAAACAAUACAAGCUAGACAUCAUACGCAACAUGCAACCAUAUAUAAUAGUGCCAAAUUAAAGCAAGCACCUGUGAUGGUGGAGUAGGGGAGAUGUGCUCAUCAUCUACACAGCUACGUUGACUGUCUAGCCUUGCGUUGUCUUGCGAAUCUUGUUGGGAGGAUGGCGGAGUAGAAUCUGUAGAGAACCUCCGUUUCAGUUGCUCGGAAGGACCACCAUCAUCCAAUGCCUUGCCAAUUUCCUUCAGCUUUAUUGAUUUUGCAUUGUGAGGUCAAACCGACAAGAAAAAGGAAUAUAAUUUGCUCUUCAGAACUCAUUCAUGCAUGAUAAUGACGAACACUACUCUGAUGAAAGGCAAAGUCAUGAUACGAGGAUGGAAUAUGUACGAAAACAUGGACUGCUUGACAUAUUCUCACCUAUGAUGUGGUAACUAAGCAGAAGGUACUUCAACAAAUUAGAAGCACUGCAAACUAGACACCAUAUGAAAGGUGCAAUCAAUAUCACUCUGCCAAGUUAAAACUGUCUCGUCAUAGGUGGCGUUCAUCAAACUAGAAGCAAUACAUGCCAGAAAUCAUAUUCAAGACGCAAACCAAUAUCACACUAUCAACUUAAAGGUGUUCCAUCAUAAGUGACUGAUGCAAGAUACACAAGAAGAGUAGUUUCAUCUGAGAACAUGAUGUGAUAGACAGAUAUAGUAUGUACCAAAAACAGGAAAGCGUGUCAUAUUCACACGUAUCAUGUGUAAGCUAAGCAGAUGCAGUUUACACUAAUUAGGAGCAAUACAAGCUAGACACCAUAUGCAACAUGCAACAAAAUAUCACACUGUCAAGUUAGAGCAAGCACCUUGGAUGGUGGAGUAGGGGAGCGAAGACUUGGACCUUGUAAUGCACUAUCAGUACAAGGAGUAUCGGUACAGAUGCUCCGUUUACGUUGCUGCAGAGGACCACCAUCAUCGCCUUCCUUACUCUCUUCCUUCCUCUUUCUUGACUUUGCCUUGUCAAGUCAAACCCACAAGAAAAAGGAAUAAAAUUUGCUCUUCAGAACUCAUUGAUGCAUGAUACCGACGAACAGUACUUUCAUGUAAGGCAGCCGCAUGAUAGGAGGAUGGAAUAUGUAUGAAAAACAGGACGGCGUAACAUAUUGACAUGUAUGAUGUAUAAAGUGUAAACUAAGCACAAGGUGAUUGAACUUGUUAGAAUCAAUGCAGGCUAGAAACCAUAUGAAAGAUGAAACCAAUAUUACUCUGCCAAAUUAAAAGGGUGCCCUGACAAAUGUAUUUGACCAAAUUAGAAGCAAUACAUGGCAACAGGCUAGAAAUAAUAUGCAAUAUGCAACGAAUAAAGGUGACUCGUCGUAAGUGAUUGAUGCAGGAUACAGAAGAGAGGUAGUUUCAUGUAAGAACAAGGUUAACACAUAGAUGUAGUGUGUACCAGAAAUAGGAAGGCAUGUCAUAUUCACAUGUAUAAUGUGUAAACUAAGCAGAUGCAAUUUAUCCUAAUUAGAAGCAUUACAAGCUAGACACCGUAUGCAACAUGCAACCACAUAUCACACUUCGAAGUUAAAGCAAGCACCUGUAAUGGUGAUUUGGGGGAAUUGCGGUCAUCAACUAGAGAGCUACGUUGACUAUCUUCAUUUAGUCUUGCUGUUUCUUGAGAAUCAUGUGGGGAGAAUGACGCUGCAGUCUUGAAAUGAGUAUGGCGUCUCAUAGUAACCCACUCGGGUGACUGUCUCAUCAUAAGUGAUUGACAAGGGAUACAAAAGAGCAUUAGUUUGAUGUACGGACAUGGUUAAUAGACAUAUGUAGUAUGUAUCAAAAACAGGAAGGCAUGUCAUUAUCAAAGGUAUAAUGCGUAAAGUAAGCAGAUGCAAUUUAACCAAAUUGGAAGCAAUACAAGCUAGACACCAUACGCAAUAUGCAACCACAUUUGACAGCGGGAAGUUAAAGCAAGCACCUAGGAUGGUUGUGUGUGGCAAUUGAGAUCAUCAACUGCAGAGCUACGUUUACUGUCCCCAACUGCUGACACUGCAUCCUUUAGAGCGCUGAAAAGCUUAGUGCUUAUCUUCAAAUUACACUGGAGCGACUUCUGUCUUUUCUUUUCAGCAUUCAUCAACACUGCGUCAGAGUGUGAAAUAUCCAUGCAUAAAAAAAUAAUAGUGUGAGUAUGGGUGAAGUGUGUGCACAAUUAGUACAGUGUAAAGGUAGCAGAUAGCAGGUCGGUGAGAAAUAAAUGAUGGAAGACAUAUGAUAGCUCUACAACAUGCAUGGCACACUAAAUUACUACAGGAUUCUAUGAAAAUAAAAUUUGAAUGAAAACAAAUAGGCCAGUCCAUUUUUUCUACACCGUUCGAUGUACAAAGAACGGGCGGAUCGCCUUCAUCUACCUCCAGCCAGUCAGUGUUGACGAUCUUCCUCGAAACGGCAGCGACCACCGGCCCAGUCCCCUGCCCGCGCCCUCCCCUCGACCUCACCACACCGCCGUGCUUGGCACUGCCCCCCGGCCAUCCAUUCAAGCCCCGCCGACGUCCAGAUCGGGCGCAAGUAGCUCCUGCGCCCCACACCUCUAUGAUAGACACCGAUGCGCCGCUUCCCCAAUGAACAGGCAGACUAGGUGCUACGCACGCCUAAGCGGGUGCUGCUUCUUUUAAUUGCGGUUUGACUGACCCUGAAUUGAAAUCCAGGCGGGCUACUGACCUCUAGCAAAGGUGAAAUAGUAAAGGGAGGAAACCUUGUGCAUUUAGUAUCACGGAGAAGAUGCAGUAAGAAGCGCUCAACUAGUUUCUUUCGUGGGAUGAAUACGGUGUGAGCAGAGACGUAAGGUUUGCACGAAUAAGGGAAGAGGAGUACCUCUUUCUGCUGGCAGUGUCGUGUCCUCCUGUUUUUCCAACGAUCUUCUUGUGGUUCGCUGGAAACGAGAAGUUGUGGAGGACGGUGCAGCCUUUGGACGAACCCAUGGCCAAGUUGUUGAGUGUGGUGCGGUGGCCAUCUGUCGGCGGCAGGGAAGCAGAUCCGAGGCGGCGAAUGACGGCGUAGCGGGAACAACUCCAGUUCGGUGGACGGUUGCGACAGUGGAGCGGCAGCAGUGGGGCGCAGGACGGCGUGGUCGGAGUAGUUCUGGUACGGCGCACAUCGGCGUCGGCAUCAUGGAGGCAGCUCUACCUCGGCUUCAACUGCUAAGUCCUUGAGGGCGUUGCGGUUGCGGUUGCAUUGGACGACGACGUCGGGGUACCGGCUCCGGCGUGAUGGAGGAGGGCGGCGGUGUAUUGGGCGCUCUGGGGUGGACCACGGAGGAGGCUGGGGUUUCGCGGCUGGUGGAGAGGGCGUUUUGGCGCCCAUGGAGUAUGAAUGGGGAAACGGAGGGAGGCAGGGAACUAAGGGGGAAUAAUGUUUCGGUUUGGGACGCGCUUGUUUGAAAUUUGGGGAAAGUUACAAACUUUGCCCCCAUCUAAAAUUUCGGACAUAUUACGGGUUGGGGGUAGGACAGUAAUCUCAGGUGUCCCAAAUGUGGGCGGGAUAGAUUUCGGCCGAGCGCAUGGGUGUUUAGGCGCCCACGGCGUAUGAAUGCCUCUCAGAGGCGGUUGAGACUGGCGUCUUGGUGAAGCUACAAACCUACCAAGGUUUAGACCUUUGGACAUCGGGCCAAUAGGCUACAGGGGCCAGAGUCAGGACAGUAAUUUCCUACCACCAAACAUUAGUCUCGCGCGGUUUCGGGUGACCAGAGGCCUAUUUGGCGCUUCGUUCAAUAUUUGGGAGCAGAAGCAUUAACGUUUUCGGUUAUCUUGAAUUGAACAUUCAGGAUUUGUCAAACUUCGCAAAUCUUUACUCUUGAAAAUCCUAAAGCAACGAUUAUUUUUGAAUGGUGGUGGUACAUUUGAAUAUACAUUGUACACGAGUAUAUAUUAAAAAAUAUGCAACUUACCUCAGUUCAUGCAUGCUUCCAGAUAUAAUCUCCUUGGUUGCAAAAAAGAAGUUAGACAUGCGUAUGAAUAUAUAUAGCAUGUUCAAACGCACAACAAAGAUUGAUGCCCCCUUUUACAUCUGAUUUAAAAAUGCCAUUAUCUCGGGUUCAAAGAGAUGAAUGCACUAUCUAUGAAUUCGAAUCUUCGAAACCCCCUUUAUGUUGAAUUCGACAUGUAUUCUAUUUCAUAGCUAGCAGUUUGGAAUGUAUCCAUGCAAGUGACAAAUGUAUAAAGUGCUUCACACUAACAAUAUGGAGUGCACUAAUUAAUGUUUAUAUAUGAAUUGCAAAAGCAUCCAUUGCCUGUAUUUCAAACCUCUCUCACUCUAUUGAUCGAUAAUAUGAAAUAAAUACAUGCACAUGCUAGAAUUCAAUAGAGUAUGGGUGUCUGAUAGACCGAUUUUCGUCCAUACGCAAUUUGCAAAAUUCAUGAUCUCAUCCAAAAAUAAUAAUGCCAUUUAUAUUUUAAUUUAAUGCGUAGAAGCGCCUUUUACACGUAGAUGCACUAUUCCUCGGCCCGUUCUCACAAACGCGCUAUAUCUCUCUCUAUCUACCGUAUAAGUGCACACACUUUAUAUGCAUCGGCAUUUCUCUUUCACACAUGCUCACAAUCUCUCUUGGGGUGUCGGGGAGUCUCACGCACAUGCUCUCUCUGUAUCUCUCUCUCUUUCUGACUACUAUGUACCACUCUCUUCACUAAUCUCAGUUGGAAAACACUAUUUCUCUCACAUGCAUAUAUACACACGCACGGUCUCUACUAGCCCUCUAUACGCACAUAUAUGUGCCUACGUGUCUCCCGCACGCACAUUAUCUUUAGACCUCUCUCGCACACAUUGCCCGCCCAGACACACCUCUCUCUUAAUAGUUGGCAGAUAUGAUUUCAUCAUAUCAUUCGGUAGGAUAUCCCUGACUGUUAGGCUGGAUGGUAAUACGAGGCAAAGUUUUACCCUAGUUCGGACCCUUGCAGCUGAGGAAAAAGCCUACUCCUAGUACUGUAUAUUAGUGAUAGGGGUGUGUACAAAGUACAUGUGAAUACGAGGCAUUGUGCGUGUGUAUAUACUAUCGACGAACUAGCCCCCAAGCUUCUAUAACAUACUGGGGGCCUACGGUUACAAAUCAUAUAUAGUCGGCUUAUCACCAGUGGGGAUAGAUUCCUCCGCGACUCUGGUAGCUAGCUUCGUGUUGUACACCGAGUCCUCCACAUGGGUCUUCGUAUAACGCGUCUCGAUCCAACCUAUGUGGCGUAGGAUGGAACCGACCCAUGAGUCCUCAUGUUGACCCAGCACAACUAGAAAUGAUGUGCCCACCACACCACACACGCAAUCGGCCACUAAGAAAGUAAGCAUAUACAAUAGUACAAUGUUAUACAUGAAAGUUAAUUGCAUGGUGCAUCCAAAAAUAUUUUUCUGCAUUGUGAGUGUUUAUAUAUUCUCCUAAAAUAUUAGUCACGUGAAAGAGAAACGAAGGGCAUAUCUCUCCUUGUCUCCACCGGACAUCCCCUCUUUAUACACCACUUUCACAUAUGCACACAAACUAUCUCUCGGCCCUCUAAAAGUAUGCAUGCCCACGACACAUUCACGCAUGACGGUCACUGUAUUUCAAGCUAAAGCACUAUACGGUCACUGGAGUUCAGAAUAUGCUCAUUACGGUCACCGUAUACAUUCUUGUGGUGAUCAUACGGUAUCUAGCUCACGAUACGUCUUCGUAUUUUCUUGAUGACACUGACGGACUUUGCAUUUGAUGCGUGCUCCGUAUUUUGUUGACGACACUUACGGUCAUUGUAUUUGAAGCGAAAGCACGAUAUAGUCACUAGACUUCAGAAUAAGCUCAUCAUGGUCACCACAUACAUUUUGUCGUGCUAACCAACAUGUGGUUGGAUGGUUAGGAGGACAGUGGUUUCUCGAGCCCACCAGGGUUAAAGUUCCGGUGCUCACAUUUAUGCUGGGUUAAUUUCAGUAUUUUCCGGUGAUGUGCGUUCAGUGGGAGGAGACGUUCCACUCGACUACGAGGCACCUAAGGUGACUUCGUAAAAUGUCAAGAUCAUAUGCUGGCUCACUCUCUCGAAGGUGCUCAUAGGGGUAGGGUCUGCGUGUGUGCGCUUAUAGCGGUGAGUGCUUGCGCGUAUAUAUGAGCCCUUGCGUCUGUACCGUGUUAAAAAAUACAUGUCAUGAUUAUACGGUCACUGGCUCACCCGUACAACUCUGUACUUUGUUGAUGACACAAUUAAUUGACCAGUCAAACGUUCCACGUGGCGCAACUAGUGUUGCACCGUCGGGGCGCGUAACCGUGGGGCCCACCUGUCAGCCCGUAUAUGAAAGAAAGAAAUGGUAGUUUGAGUCUGUACUAUGUUAAUAAAAUACAUUUUAGGGUGAUCAUACGGUCACUGGCCCACCAUACAGCUCCGUAAUUUGUUGAUGACACCAUCAAUUGGCCGGUCAAACGGUCCACAUUCGACAGCGCACAUUACCAUAGGGCCCACCCGUCAGCGCGUAUAUGAAGGACAGAAAUGGUAAUAAAUUAGUGGUCGGUGGGUACUCGAAGUUGUGAGACCUCUGGUUGGCAAUCGCCGGCGGUGGGGGCGCGUUGAUUGGGCGAUGGGGUGGGGAUCGCCGGAGAAAAAGCUCGGCGCGGGGGGGCCUAGAGGGAUGGCCGGUGCGGCGGCGGACCGACGGUGGGGAGUGGUUUUGGGGCGGGCGGGGUGGUGUCGCAGCGCGGGCCGGCCGCGGGCGGCGGGUGCCGGCGGUUUGGCCGGUGGUGGCUGGCGGCUCAGGGGGGUGGAGUUUGAUGAUAAACUACAGUCCCUUUAUUUCAUAUCCAACGGCUGGAAAAUCCAAUGACCAGAGAUGAAAAAGUCAGUCGACUGACGUGUAGCCUCACCCCGCACGUACACAUGCACGCAUGCAAGACACGCAUGCAUGCAGGCGUGCAACACUGACACGUACACAUAACGAACGCACGCACGCAUGCAGGCGUGCAACACUGACACGUACACAUGCACUCACGAACACACGCACGUACGCACACAUGCAUGCAACACUGAAAUGUACCCUUGCACGCACGCAACACUCGCACGCCUGCAUGCACACAACACACGACGCAAGACACACGCUCAACCUAUACGUGCAUGCACCCUUUGUUAAGGACAUGGAUUGUUACGGGUAUUAAUCAAUCUUAUCUGUGAUAAGCAGAACAUUGAUGUUUGCGGCGGUCUUUAUGAAUCACAACGUAUCGAACGGGCUAUAAACAUAGUAGGCUUAUCUACAUGAAAAGGAUGACGUCACACUCAAUGAACAAUCACCGGUUUAUGAAAUGCCCGCUUCUGACCGCCCUGGCCCACAAAAGGUUCCUCUGCUAUGCGCUGCCUGCGUUGGGUCACUGACAUGCAGGCCAUGUACCCAAAGAGCCCACACGUCAGUGGAAGAACGGCGCGGUGUCCUACGUAAGAGUCGAGGGCGCAACUCGCUGCACGCCCGACUGAACAUGCCUCCUUGCCGCAUUCAAACGCCUCCAUGAAACCCGCCCGUGUGGAAGCCGAGAAAUCCACUCUGGACACACGUCCGUUCAUGACCGGAUCGGCAUUAAACGCAACGCCGGCCAAGCUCCUCCCGUCCGCCGUCUAUUUAAUCUCCUAUUUAAAUGAGGCCAAACGCCGGCCAAGAAUCGCACACCUCCGCCGCUCCCCUAUCUCCUCCUUCACCAUUUUGUCCACUCUUACAGUGGCUUACGAAGAGUAGUUAUUCCGCACAAGCCAUUUGUCUAGGUUUGUAUCUCUCACACACACCCACGUAGGUGGGGGACGUGCACGAAGAGAAGAGGUGCACGCACGGCGCACAUACUCCCGUCUCUUUCCCAACCACACCCGCGCGGGUACACGGUGGAGCUCAUUUCUGUACGAAAAUGCAGCCCACGUGGUAAUUUGACCAUGUAUUGGUUGUCCACUUGGUGGAGGGAGGAUCGUCUACCACGGGUGAACAAACAAAUUGCGACCUGACGCGUUAUGUUAAAAUGAGGCAAACCAUGUGGGGCCUACCUUAGAGGCAAGGCUCUAUACUCUGGAGUACUUUUGAUGUGUCCCGUCAAAUCACAGAACGAGGAGAAGCUUUCUUAGUACACCGUCUCCCUCGCCCACGGGCGCGGUGGCUCGCAGGAUGAGGUGAAGCUUGCUUACUAGUAGUAGUACUGUACGCUUUACGCCCGCUCCGUCGCCCACGCGCGCGGUGGCUCGCAGGACGAGGAGAAAUUUUUACUACUCCCUCCGUUUACUCCUCGUCCCUACUACCUUGGUUAGAGAGAUUAUCAUAUUUUUUGGAAUAUAUAUGUCCUUUAGUACUCACUCCAUUUACUUAUACAAGGCUACUAUAAAAAUAUACAUUUUGCAUCUAUACAAGGCCACAAAUAGUAAUCGAGACAAAAGUUACUACUCCCUCAUUUCCAGUUUAUGGCUCAAUUUCAAAAUCUCUCCAACCAAGGUAGACGGUGAGUGGUCAAAUUAAUUUCGUACUCCUAGUUUGCACAAGUAAUUAGUACACUCGUUUUUAUUAACAAGUUAUGUUUACCGAGGCAUUAAUUAGAACUAAUGCAUGAAUGACCACUAAAUUUCCAUGAACUUCUACAUGCAUUGGUGAGUUUUCUCUUAACACUGCUUGCAUCGGGUGAUCUAAUGCACCUCGAAAUCCAACAUGUGAUGGUACUACUACUAGUAGUACAAUUGAGACAUAUAAAACGGAAAAACGAAUGUUUUUUAGAUGAGCCCUAUAAACCCUAGUGGGUACGUACUCCAUAAAAUAAGAUUUUCCCAAAACUAAGUCGUUCAACCUUUAUUUGCUUGUUUCCCUUCCUGCCUCCUUGCCUCGAACAGACUAUGCCAAACUCCCCUGCCUGCCGCGCGGGAAAAGACCCGCCCUCCCCUUUUUUUUAGUCCGGGUUUGUAUCGAUGGAUCACGCGAAGCAGCAAAAACCCAAGUCGUGUCUUGUACUCCUCCAUCGACGCUAGCUCUCAUGAAUUAUGUACUUCCUGUCGCCGACAUGUGGGACAUAUAGCAACCGGGUCGACGUGUCAAGCACCACAUAACAGUGCAGAACAGCAGGGGGGACACACCCUAGUCGUACCACCCCAGUAGUAGUAAUGAGCAAUGAGACGUCAAAUCACAAUGCCGCACCUUCCCAGACGGACGAAGCAACCAUUAUUUCACACUUCGGUUCGCCAUCAUCUCAAACCACGUAGUAUUGCUUCUGCCUCAAGAGGGACACACGCAUCGCCUUGGUACAUCAUGACACGUGGGACCGCAUGACAGGCCAUGCUCUCCCGCCGAUCACUCGGUAAAAUCACCUCAUUUUUACUACUAUACUUCCUCCGUAUCGGUUUACAUGGCAUGCACGUCGUUCUAGGUUGAGAAUUUAACUGGCUAUAUAUGUGAUGAACAGUAUAUGUUUAGAAACUACAUCCGCUUAAUAAUCCAGUGAUAUACUUUUUGUGACAUAGUAACUAUGAUUUAGUUAGUCAAAUGGAUGACCUAGAACUACGUGCACGCCCUAUAAACCGAGACGUCUAAAAAAACGAGACAGAGAGGGUAGUUCAGUACGUAUCUUUUUAGCUCAAUAUAGUCGGGAUUCACCAAGGAGCAAAACCAAGUGGUAGGCUGCACCUGUCGUGUUGGCGUAGCGACUCAAGCAGGGUCAGUCCGCACACGAAAUGGCGACACACUUAACAGGACCCCUUUGGCCGACAUGUGGCUCAUCCACCGUCUUGUUCCACGUGCGAUGCAUCAAAUUACAGUUCGGAGCAGUGGUUGGAAUUGGAGGCACCCCGGUCGUAGCGCCGCAGUAGUAGAAAAUGAGCGAUGAGGGGUCAAAUCACAAUGCUCCACCUUUCCUGCAUUAAGCUGGACGGACGAAGGAACCAUCAUUUCACUCUAGGGCGCAAGAGCAUAAAGUAAACAGAAAACCAAUGAUGCGUGCGGCAGCUACCUAAGGCACCCUAGGGUAGGGGUCUCCACUACAGAUCAUUUUUUUGAAAGCGCCUCCACUACAAAUCGGCUUCUCCCUCGUCCUCUUGAAGAAAACCGAUGAUGCGUGCGGCGGUAGGGUUUGUAGGAGUACUACUAGGGCGUGUGGGGCCACGUCGUAGUAAACGGGAGAGGGAUUGAGUUCGAGUCGAUGCCUUAAAUAUGUGUGGGUCGCUUGGUUUUAGGGGAACGAGGCAGCAUUUUGGGUUCGGGGACCAGUGGAGAUAUAGUACGUACAAAAAAUUGUGGACGUAGGUUCGACCGAAAGGCAAUGAUGCAUGGGCCCUGCAUUUUGAUAUACCCGGGGCCGCGUGAAAUUUGCUACUCUACUUAAAACUAGUACGGUACACAUGCAUUGAACGCAUGAGAUUUCGAAACCAAAUUAUGAAUAAAUACACACUAUAGCAUGUAAAGCUUUCAGUCAUAUAUGCAUGAUGUAGAUGUUUGUUUGGUUUUUAUAGUUCAUCUCAUUCGAAAUCAAUUAGUUUUAUAAAAAUGUUAUGAUUCACGGGGUUAUGCAUUGUAAAGCAUAAAGUAAAAAAUAAAUAAUGGCAAUUCAUUUAGAAAAAAAUCAAAUAUGAUACGGAAGAUUCUAGAACAAAGGAGAAGUGCAUGUGUUUUGAGGUUUGUGCAUUAUGCUUAAGUUCAACCAUGGAGUCUUCUAAAUUGUACAUGUGGCAGAUCUGGUGGAAUGUUGAUGAUAUCCAACGCCCAGUAGUGCUCGGAUUUGCCAUCUCUGCACUGUCGGAUUAGCUUCAUCCAGCAACCAUCUUUCAAGUUAUUCGCACACUAUAUAGUUCUUGUGCCAUAGUUGCAUGUCUUGGAAAAAAGCUACUAGUGGGUUGUACUAGCUAUUUAAGAAUAGAAGAUGUAUACAUGGAAGUUGUAGGGAAAGAGAUGACAUGGAGUAUCUUAGUUCCUAUGAGUAGGGAUUGGAAAAGAGAUGCCAUUUGGUUGACAUCAUAGGAACUUUUCUAUUGAAUCUAGAGAUGCCAUGUAUCUCAAUUCCUAUGAGGAGGGAUUAGAAAAGAGAUGUAAUUUGGUUCAUAUCAUAGGAACUUUUCUAUUGAAUAUACGCUAAUGUUUAUUUUCCUUUGAAAUUAUGGGAGUAUAGGAUCCAUUCAUAUGAACCAAGUGGCUCUAAAGCUAUAGAAAUGAUAUCAUGUUUAUUUCCUUUCAAAUGUGGAGUAUAUGAAUCUAUUCCUAUGAACCAAUUGGCUCUAAAGGAAAAAGUCCUACAAAAAUCAUAUCAUAUAGAGUUCCUAUGAUAUUCCUCCACACCAAAGGAUGGUUGAAAUUGUUGCAGGUGAUACGAUGGUCUUUCUUUGUAGACUCCUCACCCAUCUUUAUAGUUACCUCUCGAAGAUGAAUGAAAUGAUAUAUACAGGGUAUUCUACAUGUGCAAUUUGGUACACGAAAACUCGGUAAAAGUUUGCGAGGUUCGAAUUUUCAAUAAAGCUAUAUGCAUUGCAUUUUGGAACGGAGGGAGCAUACGGCAGUUGCUAACACUGACGUGGAAGAUUUGUGUGUAGGAGGAGUGGCUGUUCUGUUAAAUGACAUGGCAAAACUGACACUGUCGGAUGCCGAUCUAACGGUUCUUACGGUGUUCGUCAGGAAAAGGCUUGUGGCGAACAUUUGUCAGAUAAUGAUUUACGGACACAUGCAUUGCAUUGAUACGUGCCCCCUCUCUCUCACCCACACGCACCCUCCCGAGUCCUCUCGCACCCACCGUCUAUCUGCAGGUAGACGUCACACAGAUAUGCUCUCUUCACACCCUACCCUCAGAACUUCUAAAAAACAAAAGACGUCACACACAUUUUAUUUUAGCUCACACGUCACACACUUAUACUAUUACUCUUGUGGCGAACGUUCUUUGGGCAUAGUAUAUUGUACUCUCACGAAGAGAAGCAGUGCACGCACGCACUAGUUCUCUCACACCCACUCGCGGGUACACGUAGGAGCGCAUUUUCUGAAGCUGGUACAACAAAAUCACUCCACUAUAUAUAUAAGCAGGAGCCUUAGCGCUUGCUUUACUAGGGUUCCUCUCGUUCACUCUCUCAUGCUCUCCAGAUCUAAGCAAGACAUAGGUGGCCACACUCUCUCUUAGCUCACGGCUGGUCACAAAUCCGGCCGGACAACCUCGACCGGGGCAGGGGUGUAGGUGCAUCGUUCACGCUGUCGUCGGCGGCGAGGGAGGAGACCAACGGCUGCCCGCGUGUCCCUCUUGCUACCUCUUGAGCACUGUGUUGGUUUUCCCUUGAAGAGGAAAGGGUGAUGCAGCAAUGCAGCGUAAGUAUUUCCCUUAGUUUUUGAGAACCAGGGUAUCAAUCCAGUAGGAGGCUACGCGCGAGUCCCUCGUACCUACACAAAACAAAUAACUCCUCGCAACCAACGCGAUAAGGGGUUGUCAAUCCCUUCACGGUCACUUACGAGAGUGAGAUCUGAUAGAUAUGAUGGGAUAAUAUUUUUGGUAUUUUUGUGAUAAAGAUGCAAAGUAAAAUAAAAGCAAAGUAAAAAGCAAAGGAAAUAACUAAGUGUUGGAAGAUUAAUAUGAUGAAGAUAGACCCGGGGCCAUAGUUUUCACUAGUGGCUUCUCUCAAGAGCAUAAGUAUUCUACGGUGGGUGAACAAAUUACUGUUGAGCAAUUGACAGAAUUGAGCAUAGUUAUGAGAAUAUCUAGGUAUGAUCAUGUAUAUAGGCAUCACGUCUGAGACAAGUAUACCGACUCCUGCCUGCAUCUACUACUAUUACUCCACUCAUCGACCGCUAUCCAACAUGCAUCUAGAGUAUUAAGUUCAUGAAAACAGAGUAACGCCUUAAGCAAGAUGACAUGAUGUACAGGGAUAAAUUCAUGCAAUAUGAUAGAAACCCCAUCUUGUUAUCCUCGAUGGCAACAAUACAAUACGUGCCUUGCUGCCGCUACUGUCACUGGGAAAGGACACCGCAAGAUUGAACCCAAAGCUAAGCACUUCUCCCAUUGCAAGAAAGAUCAAUCUAGUAGGCCAAACCAAACUGAUAAUUCGAAGAGACUUGCAAAGAUAACCAAUCAUACAUAAAAGAAUUCAGAGAAGAUUCAAAUAUUGUUCAUAGAUAAUCUUGAUCAUAAACCCACAAUUCAUCGGUCUCAACAAACACACCGCAAAAAGAAGAUUACAUCGAAUAGAUCUCCAUGAGAGAGGGGGAGAACAUUGUAUUGAGAUCCAAAAAGAGAGAAGAAGCCACCUAGCUACUAACUAUGGACCCGAACGUCUGAGGUAAACUACUCACACUUCAUCGGAGAGGCUAUGGUGAUGAUGUAGAAGCCCUCCGUGAUGGAUGCCCCCUCCGGCGGAGCUCCGGAACAGGCCCCAAGAUGGGAUCUCGUGGGUACAAAAGGUUGCGGCGGUGGAAUUAGGUUUUUGGCUCUGUAUCUGAUCGUUUGGGGGUACGUAGGUAUAUAUGGGAGGAAGGCACUACUAGAAAAAGACUUACUAGUGGCGCACCAGUUUUGCCUACUAAUGGCGCACUACUGGUGCGCCACUGGCACCACGCUACUAGUAUUUUUUUACUAAUGGCGCACCAGGCAGUGCGCCAUUAGUAUAGGCCACGGUGCGCCACUAGUAUGCCUCCCAGGGGGCCAUAUAUACCCAUGUGCUUUGCCAUACUAAUGGCGCACUGCGGGGUGAUGCGCCAUUAGUAUCCUUCGGCAUACUAAUGGCGCACUGCUGGGUGAUGCGCCAUUAGUAUCCUCUGGCAUACUAAUGGCGCACUGCGGUGUGAUGCGCCAUUAGUAUCCUUUGGCAUACUAAUGGCGCACGUUGGUGUGAUGCGCCAUUAGUAUGUAUAUUAGGGAUUAUUAUUUUUUUCUUUUCUGAUUUUUGCACAGAUUACAAAAUAUAUUAUUGGACAGAAUAUAAGCAGCACCACACAGCAACAGCAGAUUCAUCGAAUACAAUAGAAGAUUAGUCUCCGAAUACAAUUCAUCAUAUUAGUCUCCGAAUUCAAAAGACCGAACAAAGAUAGAACAUUACAAGUCUCGAGACCGCGAGUAGCGAGUUUGUCUUCACAUUACAAGUCGAUAUCGAUCAUCUAAACUACCAUCACAUAGAAGAGAGCUGCGGUCAUAACGAUGAGCAUCAUCGCGAUGAAACUGGUCUUCAUCCGGCUCCUUCACCGUGCUUCUCCAUGUAGACAGGGCCGUGCUCAUCCUCGUGAGGGCGGCACUAUUCACUUUAUUCCCUAAGAGGCGUGUGUUUGCAAACUCAGCGGGGAACUUGUAUCGUUCGUGCAGCUUCGUGAAGAGGAGGUUGCGCAAAUUCCCUCGGUCCUUAUGCCUUAGGUUCUCGGUGUUGAUCGAGACGGUGCUCCAGAGAAUGCACCCGAGCUGAACUGAGUACCCCUUGACUACAUGUUUGGGCGCCGUUGGAUGCCCGUCGGAGUUCACUUCAGUAAAUUCCUCCUUGACGGUGCCGAGCACGUUCGGGCGCCGGUCCUUCCGUUGCCUCUUCGGUUGGCUGCCAUCUGUGCGUGCGCCGCCAUCAUCAGUGGUGGCAUCCUCGGCGGCACCAUCAGUGGUGUCAUCCCCGACGCCACUAGGGGUUGUGUAGUCAGGAUCGUUGUCUCCCACGGCGUCCUCAUAGCGGUGAGGUUCUUCCUCCAUCUCCUAGGACAGCUCCUAGAAUUGCUUGCCGCCCGAACCGCCGGCCUCAUCGUUGUGGGCCAUGUUUCGCUCUAAAUAGGAAAAAAGUUUGGUCAAAAAGUUGGUUAUUGUCAAGGAACAAGAUCAUGGUCUCAUCAUUUAGGGUUUGUCGACACCGAGGCAUCCUAAAAGCUAAGAUUUUAUCAUUUAGGGUUUGUCGACGCCGAGGCACCCUAAAAGCCUAAGCGUACAUCAUUUAGGUUCUCAUCGACACCGAGGCACCCUAUAGAAGGCUAUGUUGGGUUUAUCAUCUAGGGUUUAUCGAUGCUAAGGAGAAUUCUAAGUUGGGCCUAAUCACUUGGCUCUAUUGCCACCUAUGGUUUAAUGCAGCAAGAAUGGCGGGGCAGUUGAUCCUACUUAACUAAGUACUAAGAUACCCCGGCCCAUGCAUUAGUCGCAAGUACCCCAUAUGUCCUAUUUUUAGCAAAGUCAUGCUAAAAUUCACGGGAAAUUUCAGCAUGACCUUUGCUGAAAAUAGGACAUAUGGAGUACCCAAAUUUGCCGGAACGGAAGUUAAUCGACAUUCCAGCAAACUCAAGGGCCUCUCGGGGUACCUGCAAAUUCAUCACGACACAAUGGUCGGAGACAAAACCCAGCAAACUAGCAAAGUUACUGACGUGUUUACAGAAAUUGUUUUCUGUAAAAGAUGAUCAUCAUCUUUGCAAGUCUUUCUCAAUGUGAUCACAAGUAAUUCAGAGGCAUCACAAUAAAGCAACACCCUGCACUAGCCUAAAAACAAGUGAAGUUUCACCCAUAUAAGAACAACUUUAUAAAAUCAGAGAAGUUGCUAAAUUUUUUGUAUCCUUCAUACACACAGGAGUACAAUGCUUUAUAAUGUUCCAUCAUCAUUACAGAAAUCCAAGAAACACAUGGUCUUGAGGAUAUUCUUUAUGACUGAUUAUUUCAGUUUUACAUGCAGAUUUUGACCAAAAAACACAUGGUCUUUUUAACAGUUUGGACAGAAUACUGAAAACUACAGUUUGGACAGAAUUCCUAAAACUUUGGUCUUCUAGUUACAAAACAAAAGUGACAUAAUUCUAGAUGCCAUAACUGAAUUUUUUUACAGUAGCUCAAGUUUUUGACAGUAGCUCCUCACUGUCUGUCGCCUGCAACACUUUUUAUGCUAGCAGCUCAAGUUUGUGCCAUUGGAGCAAAUAUUUCUCACCUUGGAGGUGUUGCUGCUGCUGCACUGUCUGGACUUCACUUCCUUUACCUCCUCGGAAACCUGAAAUAUGCAGAUGUUAGAAAGGUUCUAAUUUGUAUAUGAUGAUUCUAAGAAAAGGGAAAAGGAGUAUCGAGAACAGAUUCACAUGUCUGGCUAUUAGCCAUUACAAACUUAAAUUUAUCUAUUUCUGUAUCUCACAAACUAUCAUAAAUGAAUAAUAGUAUUAUAGUUCAGCUAUUCCAUGGAAUAAUGGGCUUAAGAUUAAUGAACCAACAGAUGCCCUAAUGGAAGUAAUAACAACAUGACAGCAAACAACCAACAAACAUGAUGGGCAGGCCAAAUACUCAUGUCACUUCCAUUAGGGCAUCAUCUUCCUACAACUACUCAUCUUCAGCAGCACAUGAUACUGCUACUGUAUCUAAUACAACAACAUGACACUUGUUACUGUAGCACAUGAUACUGCUACUGUAUCUACAACUACAACUACUACAACAACAUAAAACUACUAUAAAUCAUCUUCCUACUAUACUUGCUACUCAUCUUUAGAACCAAACAGCAGCAAAAACAGAACCAAACUACUAUCCAUCCAUCUAGCAAGCAACUAGCACAACUCAUCCAUCCAUCCAUCAAGCAUCAUAUACCUAACUAACAUCAACAUACAUACAUCUAUCUAACAUCCAUUAAUCCGUGUAACUAGUAGCAUGAACAAGAGAGGAACAGGGAACAGUGACAUGGACAAGAAGCAUAGAGGCAAGGAAGAGAGGCUCAUCCCAGGCCGUGGUCGAAGGAGAGCAGCCGCUGGCCACGCGCAGGAAAAGACGGCGGGAGGUGGCGGCGAGGGUCACGGCACCGUCCUUGGCUCGCCGGCUGCUGCGGAGGUGACCGGUGGCGGAGGACGGCAGGGGCAGGCGGGGUGUGGGCACGUCGGGGCGGCGCUCGCCGGCUGCUGCAGGGGCCGGAGGAGGCCCUCGCUUGUCGGAGGGAGGAGGAGAGGAGAGGAGCGCUCGGCCGAUCUCAUUCGGGGGGGCGCGGGGGCGGCGGGGGUGGAGUCCCGCGGGGGUCGGGGCGGCGGCGUCGGGGCAGCGCAAGACCACAGCGGCGGCGGCGUCGCCGACGGCGUGCAGGCGCGGCGGACGGAGGGGGCGGAGCAAGGGGGCGGCGACGUACGGUUGGGGUCGAGUGGGGGAUCUGGCGGGGGAGGGAUGGAGGCCACAGUGCGAGGGGAAUAGGUGGAGUGCGGGAUGUCUAUCUAAUGGCGCACCUCCCCCAAGUGCGCCAUAAGUACGACGAUAGCAAUAGCGCACCUCACCCUGGUGCGCCAUUAGAAAUUACUAGCCCGACUGGUUAGGUUAUAUUCCACCUAACCCUAUCUCCAUCAGAACACGCCCACUAGCCCAACUGGUCAGCACGCAGCACACACACUAGGAGGUCCUGGGUUUGAUUCCCAGGCUCCCCAAUUUUUGUUUUUAUGCAUUUAAAAUGCUGUUUGAUAUUUAUUUGUGUUUAAAUAUGUUCAAACUUGUUUAAAUCAUAACAGUAAUAUUUUUUUAUAAAAACAGUAAUAAUUUUUUAAAAAAUAUCAUCNNNNNNNNNNNNNNNNNNNNNNNNNNNNNNNNNNNNNNNNNNNNNNNNNNNNNNNNNNNNNNNNNNNNNNNNNNNNNNNNNNNNNNNNNNNNNNNNNNNNNNNNNNNNNNNNNNNNNNNNNNNNNNNNNNNNNNNNNNNNNNNNNNNNNNNNNNNNNNNNNNNNNNNNNNNNNNNNNNNNNNNNNNNNNNNNNNNNNNNNNNNNNNNNNNNNNNNNNNNNNNNNNNNNNNNNNNNNNNNNNNNNNNNNNNNNNNNNNNCGGGGGGUGCUCGGUGGCGAGGGGGACCGGAUCUGGCGAGGUGGGAUAGCGAUCGAGAUGGAGGGGGAUCGAGAUCGAGUGUCCAUGAAAUUUAAAAACAUUCAUGAGUUCAAAAAGUGCCCAUGAAAUACAAUCGAGAAAUGAAGACUACAAUUUAAAUAUAAUCGAUCUUAGCUAGCUAUCUGUUCAAAAUCUUCUUGCCCUUAUUUUUCAUAAAUGGAGUUCUUCUCUUGAACGGACGUCCUUUAGGUAGGGUGGUCCUGAUUCUUCUUGUGGUGUAUGCUGAUACUUCGUCGUCGUCAUGUUCCAUCUUCGGGUCGUCGUACUUGUCGAAGUCUUGCUCAUUGGCGACUCCAUCCAUUCCUAUGAUCUUCCUUUUGCCUCUCCUCAUGACAACACGACUGGGCUUUGGCGGGUCGGUAAUGAAGAAGCAUUGGUCCACCUGGGAAGCCAGUACCCAUGGCUCAUUUUUCGCGGUGAUGUUCGUGCCUGCGGUCUUGGAUUUGGCUUCGGGUAUAACCAUGGUGGUGAAAUACCGGUCUUCUUUUAUGACGCUCUUGGCCCAUCUGACACGGAACAUCGGGACCUUCUCUCCAGCGUAGCUCAGCUCCCAGAUCUCCUCGAUCCUUCCGUAGUAUCUGUCCUUGUCGUUACCGGUGUAGGAUUCCAUCGUUACCCCGGAGUUUUGAUAACCAUCGCUCUUCAUGUCCUUGUCCUCGGUGUAGAAUGUGUAGCCGUUGAUAUCGUACGCCUCAUACGUCAUCAGGUUGUGCUCGGCGCCCUGUGACAAGGCGAAUAUGAGUUGUUCUUCCGCGGAAGAAUCCUCAUGUAAAGGGUACGACAGAAGCUUCUGCUUGAACCAACGCGUGAAACAUGAGUUGUGCUCUUUGAUUAUAUCACCGUCUGUCCUCUGUUGGCCUCGGUCAUUGUACAUCUUCUCAAUAAACGUUUUGUGCUCUAUCACCCAAGGAUCGACCACGUCUAUGUGUUGUAGUGCGACUAGGUUUGCUCUUUCAAAGUCGGCGAGUCGACCAUCGAAGUCGACAUGCAUUUUGCGGCGACCCUCACGGUGACCCCAUCCAGCGAGCCUGCCGAGGUGCCUGUUGACGGGCAGACCAAUGGGGUUCUCGAUGCCUAGAUAAUUCGUGCAGUAGGAGAUGCAAUCUUCGGUCAGAAAGCCCCUGGCUAUGCUUCCCUCUGGACGUGACAUGUUGCGAACGUAUCCUUUGAUGACACCAUUCAUCCUUUUGAAUGGCAUCAUGCUGUGCAGGAACGUCGGCCCGAGUUGGAUGAUAUCCUCCACGAUAUGGACCAGCAGAUGCACCAUAACGUCGAAGAAUGUGGGCGGGAAGUACAUCUCAAGCUCGCAUAGUAUCACCACGAUCUCUUCCUGUAGCCUUCUGAGUUGCCUCACGCCAACCGACUUCCGAGAGAUGACGUCGAAAAAGUUGCAUAGGCCAAAUAGCGUUUCACGGACGUGCGCGUCCAUGAUCCCACGGGUUGCAACUGGAAGUAUCUGCGUCAUCAGCACGUGACAGUCGUGAGACUUCAUCCCGCUGAACUUCUGCUUCGCUGAGUCUAGGUAUCUGCUUAUCUUCCCCGCGUAACCGUAAGGAAGUUUUACUCCUACGAGGCAGGUGAAAAACUGAUUGAUCUCCUCCUGACUUAGAGUGAAGCACGCGGGAGGGAAGUCAUUUCCGGUCUUCUUCGCCUUUUUGCCUUUGCAACGACUUUCCGUGUCCUGCUUCGCCUCAUCAUCAUCAUCAUCAUUAGAGUGAAGCUCCUCCCUGAUGCCCAUUGAUUUCAAGUCUGCACUUGCUUUCGGCCCAUCUUUGGUCCUCUCUAGCAUGUUGAGCAGGGUACCAAGCAGACUCUCGCACACGUUCUUCGUGAUAUGCAUGACAUCAAGGCUGUGAAGCACACGGUGGAUCUUCCAGUACGGCAAGUCCCAGAAAACAGACCUCGUUUUCCAUACCUUCAGCAGUGGUUCUGGCGCCUUAAGCAUUCGCUUCUUUCUCGUCUCUGGCGCCUUUUGCUUCUUUCCCGACAGUGGGCAAUCUUUCCAAUUUUUCAACAACUCGUCUAUUUCCUCGCCGCUCCUCGUACGCGGGCGUCUUCGGGGUUCGGUUUCACCAUCGAACAGAUCCUUGCGUUUCCUCCAUGGGUCAUCGUCGCGAAGCCACCUUCAAUGUCCCAUGAACACGGUUUUCGAAGACCCGGGAUCUCUAUCUAGCUGGCGAUACAUUGUGUCAUCCAUGCACCUAACGCAUCCACAAAAUCCGUGGACCACCUGCCCCGCGAGAUAUCCGUAACCGAGAUAGUCGUGCACCGUCAUGAGCAGUGCGGCUCUCAUAGGGAAAUAUUCUUUCUCUGCGGCGUCCCACGUAUUGGCUGGCGUUUUCCACAACAUGUCUAGCUCCUCUUUCAGCAGCCCCAGAUAUAUAUUGAUGUCGUUCCCUGGUUGUUUCUGCCCUUCAAUUAGCGUACUCAUGUGAAUGUACUUCCUCUUCAUGCACAACUAGGGGGGAAGGUUGUACAUCCACACAAACACAGGCCAGGUGCUAUGUGUGCUUCUCUGGCUGCCAAACGGAUUGACUCCAUCGGUGCUCGCGCCCAGCACGAUGUUCCUUGGAUCGUUCCCAAAUUCUGGGUGUUCGAAGUUCAACGCUUGCCACUGGCUCCCAUCCUUAGGGUGACUCAGCAUCUUGUCUUUUUUAUUUAUCUCCGGAUCAUUUGCGUCAUCUUCUUGCUUCUUCUCCUCCCUAUCCGCGUGCCAACGCAGGAGCUUUGCUACCUUAGGGUCCACGAAAUACUGCUGCAGACGAGGAGUGAUCGGAAAGUACCACACCACUUUUCGAGGAGCUUUCUUCCUCUUCUUGUAUCGAGUGACGCCGCACACCGGACAUAUGGUAGACUCCGCGUGCUCGUCCCGAUAAAUGAUGCAAUUGUUCAUGCACACAUGGUAUCUCACGUGCGGUAAAUCCAGAGGACACACGAUUUUCUUCGCCUCCUCGAAACUGGUCGGGCACUUGUUCCCCUUGGGAAGACGUUCGUGCCAGAAUGACAUGUUCUCGUCGAAGCAGGCGUCGGUCAUUUUGUGUUUUACCUUCAUCUCCAGAGCCAUGAGCGUUACUUUCAGGCGGGUAUCCUCGGGCCUGCAUCCUUCAUACAAUGGAGUAACCGCGUCUAUCUCCAGUUGAUCCAGCUUGGCUUUCUCUCGGGCGGCAGCUCUUGCAUUAUCCGUCUGCUUGAGAAGCAGCUCUUGAAUAAGAGGGUCCUGCACCCAACCCAUCGAUGGUCCAUCGUCGUCUGCUCCGCCGGCAUCUUCAUCUUCAUGAUCAUGCCCUUCGUCUGCUCCCGCAUCUUCCUCAUCAUCAUGUCCGGCAUCUUCUACAUGAUGACUGUGUACAGCAUCACCGUCGUGAUCAUGUCCUGGAGAUUCUUCGUCUUCUCGCCCGCCCGAGCCGCGGUGGUUGUCUUGCUGCCCAUCCUCAUUUCUUGCCCGACCCCCAUGGACGACUUCAUAGUCAUCUUCAUCACCUUGCCACCGAUAGCCAUCCAUGAAACCAUGCAAGAGCAGGUGGUCCCGCACCUGCCCGGAAUCCGGGUCCGCAAUAAGGAUCUUCAGCUUGCAUCUUCGACACGGACAUCUUAUCCCUAUCUCGUUCUUUUCAAGCAUCUCGGCCUUCGCGGAGCUCAAAAACCUAUUCACGAUGCCUUCGGUCAUCGUGCGGAUCAUGGUCGCCUGCGGGGUAGAGCAAAACGAUAUUUUAGAACCAAGAAAACAUUUGGCAUGACUUUCCCUAAAAAUAGGACCAAAAAGAAUGCAUAGUGCCAAAAUUCUUGCCGAAAUGGAAAUGAAUCAACAUUCUGGCAAAAUAUUGGCAACUAUCACAUUUCAAAUACCGGUACCUGCAAACACAAACAUAUAUGCAACACCACAAAAAUAUGCAACACCACAAACAUACAUAGAUCUAGCUAGGACAUAAAAAGUGCGUGUGCACGUUGUUGGAGGGAGAACAACAUAAAGAUAGCUUCCCCCUUACUUACCUAUCAAAAAAA
rnacentral:lncRNA from 1 species